rnacentral:lncRNA from 1 species
GUUCGCCGAGGCCAGCACCAUCUCCGGGUGCAGCGCCGGGGUCGCGUUCUUGAGCGUCCCGUCGAUGCCGUUCGGCCGGCCGAGCGCCUUCAGAGCCAGGUGCGCCGCCUUCUGGCCGGAGAUCAUCAUCGCGCCGAACGUCGGGCCCUGCAACCAAAACAAAUCCUCAGUCCAAGAACUGAACCGGAUUCCAUUGAUCUGUACUCCGUAUUUUUUAUUUCUAUUUUUGCGAAAACUUUAGUAAUCAUUUCUCACCAUUCUCGGGGCGCCGUCGAUCUCGGCGACCUCCAUGCCGGUGACGAUCAUGCCGGGGACGACCUCGCGGGUGAGGCGCACGAUGGCGUCCUCGGCCAUGUUCAUGUCAAGCGCCUUCAUCCCGGGCACCGUGUCGAUCAUCCCGAUGUCCUGGAGCCUCUUGACUCCCGUGGCGCCGAAGGGCCCGUCGUGGCCGCAGGAGCUCACCACCACCUUGGCCUCCAUGACGUUGGGGUCCAUGCAGGACUGUGUGUCGUGGUUCAUCGACACGAGCGCCCAGUUGGUGACGACGCCGGCGACGCGGUCCUCCUUCACGAUCAGGUCCUCCACGGCCACGGCGUUGAAGAGCUUCACGUUGGGGCGGGCCAGGAGGCGGCUCAUCACCGUGGAGGUGAAGAGCGCGGCGUGCUUGAUGACGACGUAGUCCUCCUGCUCGUCGUACUCGAUGUUGAGCUCGUCGAGGAACAGGUGCGCCGGCUUGCGCACGACCAUGGCGGAGAAGAGCUGGCCCCCGAGCCAGGCGCCGCCCCCCGGGGACACGGACUGCUCGAUGAUGGCGAUGCUGAUGGACGGGUCUUUGGAGAGCUCGUAGGCGCAGGACAGCCCCGCGGAGCCGGCCCCCACGAUGACGACGUCCGUGUCGGCGUAGGUGAUCAUGUCGGUCAUGUACCGGCGGGUCAUCUCGCGGGAGACGAUGGAUUCCUUGAUGGGGCUGAACUUGAAGGCGUUGAGGUCGUAGGGAGGGGUGGAGGCGGAGAUGGAGUUGCAGAUGGCGCCGGCGCGCGGGGUGGCGACGCUGGACGGGGUGCGCGCGGCGGCCGCCGGGAGGCGAGCGCCGGCGAAGGAGGUCUUGAGGAGGCUGGAGGCGGAGGUGGCCAUGGCUGCCAUGGUGAGGUGGAUCUGGUUCCGUGCGAAGUUUCUUGGGUUUCUGGAGAUGGGUGGAUGGGGAUAAGGGGCGGUGGCAGGGUAUAAGAAGAGGAGAGGAGCAGGCAAAUAUCCGGUGGUUGUGUGUACGUGCGAUCAGAUCCGAAGGUGUCGGCCUUUGGACUCAUCGGGGAUAUUUUGUGUGGUCUCUUGGCAUGAGUUACUGUGCUUAUUAAUGACCAUCAGCUCAUACAGUAGUGUUAUGUUAUGAAACACCAGAUCAUUUUUUCAUGACUAAGUUAACUUUUGAAAUCAAGCCCAACUUCACCGAGGAUCUGCGAACACAACUUCGUGUUUGGUUGUCUUACUUGGACUGAAUGGCUCGGCCCAGUUCCGUGUUUAAUUGUCUAAUUGUUUGCACGUGGUUUUUCUUCCUCCUCUGUCAAUAAACUCUGUUAGCCAACCUCCAGCCCCGCUGCUUGAUCUCCCCUUCGAUUCUCUCAUUUCGGGUGGUCUUUCCUCAAAUUGAAGCACUUGAAUUAUUCUCUGUCACUCUACGAAUCGAUUUUGCCAUGCUCUUUCUAGAGCAAGGAGGAGGGAUCUAGAUGUGCGAGUUAAUUACCGAAAAUGCCCUUCUAAAGUGGGCUAUAAAUAGAAGUCACGAACACAAGACACAACUUUUCCGAUAUUACAGUACUAUCCAACAAACAUAAAAAGAGCUCACGAUCUCCCCUCAUAUCCAUUGUGCCUCUUGUCACUCCUACGAAUGUGGUGAUUAACAAGCAAACAUUGAACGACUAAAGUUCUCAACACAUAGCACUUUGUUGUCCAGAAUUUCAGUUAUUUUCCCAUAGUUUGCCUACUUUGAUUCAUGCUAGUGAUUUGAGUAGUGAGGGAUGACAUAACGGUCCUCUGGGAUUAUUAUUUUCAAAAAAGAGGAUGUUCCCCCCGGCCUCUGCAUCAAUCGAUGCACACAACCAUAAUACUAUUGAAGUCGCAAAUAGUGAACAAAUAUCAAUUAUUACAACACAAAAUGACAACGGUAUAGGAAUAAACAACAUCCUAGCUUAUCACCUCAGAUUUGGCAGUAGCAACAUCACCACACCGGAUGCCGCCACAUUGUCAGAAGCAUCGUCGACUAUGGCUCUGCCUCCAAGAUUGAGGACCUAUGUAUGGUCUUCAACUUGCUGCUAAACAACGGCCUGGGUGGCACCACCGGCUUCUCCAACGAAGUUGGUACCGCCAUAGCCUCUUUCUCAUCUGCUUCAUUUGGCGAAGCCGUUGAUCCGGUCUCAACUAUGACCUCCACCACGGCCAUGCAAGAACUGACCACAACCACUAUCAGGACUCCUUGGCCGCCAGCACCAUAUUCUCUUAUUACAGCGCCAUGACCUUCAUGCCUGGCAACUGCAUCUACAACACCACCCUAAUGGACAUCCGGGCACCAAAGAUGGUCCGAAGGGUGAGGUCAGAAAUAAAUAUUACAAUGUAUGGUAAGUAUCUUUGCAUUUCGAGCAUCCCAAAUCUUCUAAAGGAUGACUAGGAGUAUAAAGUAGUUAGUUCGAUGCUGAGGUGCUUCCAGAGAGCUACCGAGGAAGGGCAAAUGAAGAACAUAUGUUCUCUUUUGGAGGAGCACCUCGAGCAUGUAAUGUCACGUGGGGAUAUUUCUACGAAAGAGUUUCGCAUUUGUGUUCAACCAGUUGAGUGAUAGAAGUCAAACCCGAAUCUGUAUGUCUUGGGCACACAUGUUUCCCAUAUAGCUUGAAGGGUAGGUCAGUGUUGAGCCGGCAACACAACAUUUUAGGCUCUCAUGGAAGAGAUUGGCCGCUCGUCAAGAAAAUGUCGACGCUGCUUCGUCUGAGAGAGUUGAGUCCUGCAGGAGAGCUUUGAGACACAACAACUCAACAUGUGAUGCGUUAAUAGUUAGCCUGCUACAAAGGCGCAUUUCGAGUCCUUCAUCAAGUACCUCUCGGGGCUAACACCCAUUCGGCCAUAUAGUGGGAGUGUAGAGCAGAGAAGAUAUUUGCCAUGCUCGUUUUGAAGCCAUCAUUUCGCCAAAAGUAUGCACAUCUUUGAUGCUAUGGAUGGAGAAAGAGGUUAGGUGACAUGUAGCCUUGCUGCUAUGAAUGGAGCAAAAUAGGUUAGGCAACAAAGAAGAUUUAUGCUCAUGAGGAUGAUUUUGGCACGCACGAAUUUGUGGAGGCACUUGUCAUGUUUAUUGGUGAAUGGCUAGAAAUCCAUUGAAUCCAUGGACGCCUGCCAGAAUGAAGAUAGUUAUAGGCAAACUUUAGAAGUAGGCAAAUAUUAUGUUCUUUGAAGGUUUUUAUCCUAGGCCAUUGUGAAUAUUCCAAUCCAUGCAACUAGACAUUUUCACCUAGUACAUGUGUUUUUUGCGCUCCAAAGAAAGCUUGACGGAUGUUUUUUUUUCGAGGGAUCAUUGGGAGGGACCCACCUGAAUAUAUCCACAAAAGGAACCCCGAGGGCAAUACUCCUUUCCGGAGCAAGAAACAUAGGAAAAAAACAGUACAUGAUUACAACACAACGCCAGUGUACCCACUAAACAUGAGCUGGGUUAUGCAGCAUUACAACAUAGGUUAUGUUAUAAUCAACGAACUGGGUACCACGAGCAAUAGGAGGAGGACUAUCGCAAACAUCACCAGAGAGUGGGGGAGUGAUAACCAGAUAGAUCAAAACAAAGCAUGAAAACUAAGGUGGGAAACCCGAAGCAUCAUCAUUAGGAAGCCGCACUGAUGUCAUCAUUGGGGGAAACAAUAGACGACGGAGGCUCGUCGAGCAUGCAGAAAGGUCGCGCAAAUCCUCCAUCGGAGGGUGGCUUUUCCGAGAGAAAGAGAAGAGCGACUAAUGAAAGAUAUCUCCCCAAAAGGGGGUGGUUUAUCGAGUGGAGGAGUGUAGAAGAAGGGCACAUACGACGACAUUAGGAUGACAACGGUGGCAACCAAGCAGAAGUUUGUUGGAGAUUUUGAAGGAGCUAACUAGAGGUGGAUGGAUCUCAGAUCGACCAUUUGCAGCACACACGUACUCUAUCGCGGCCAUCUCUGGCAGGAGGAUGCCGCCUCCAUGGCAGCCAUUUGCACAAUCAUGGAUCUUGGAGGCUGGAGCACAACAACCAAGUUGUAUACAGUCCUCCAAGUCCAAGCAACAGCAACAGCCGUUAGACUAACGAUGCCGCCGCCACAGCUGCCAUAUGCAAACUAUGGUUACCGUUAGCAUGAAUGGUGAAGGGGCGCGUAGAGAUAAACAAAAACUUUUCCUACGCAAACUCCCAAGAUCUAGCCGAGGUAGAAGGCCACGAGGAUUACCACUAGACGCGCAGUUGCGGAUUAUCGAUGCGGCGUCUUGAUGCAGUGCGGUCCCUCGAUCCGAUCCAGCCGAUCCAAUCCCGCGAUCGUCGAAGUGCUGAACGUACAGCACCUCUGCCGGUAUCCACACGUGCAAGGAGGAGCUCCGGUGGCGGACUGCUAGGUCCGGUGCGACGGUUGGACUGAAUGGGGCUAGGGUUCUCAACGCAUGAGAGUGAAAAAACCGUGCCCCUUAGGCAUCCCACGCCCCUGCUUAUAUACCGAGUGGAAGUGGGCUCCAAGCCUUGUGGCCCAUCCACCCUGCGAGUCCAACUCGCAUUGUCAGCCCAAUUUCAGUUCGGGUCCAACCCGACCAAAUAUUUGCUCCCGCUCUUAAGUGUGUGACCCCGCAGGCUCAUGGCGACUUGGACACGAUUGGAGUCCGACUCUCAAUCGAUCAAUCGGUAGCGGCUCCUAGCAGAACGUGCCGACUCCUAAGUACCAUCGAGUCAUGACGACGUACCUUCCAAUGUGACAUACGUCUUAGUCCCUUUUGCCUCACGAUAUACCUUGUCGAACUAUAGGCGAUUAAUCGUCAUCCCUUUAAUAGUUCAACUCUCUUCUCGAUCUGUGAUAUACGAUUCAUCCGACUAACUCUUAGUCGAUCGACCCGGUUAACAGUUAACCAAGUCGCGCAUGGCCAUGCUUCCCGAAUCAUAUCACUCGAGAGGGCCCAGAGAAUAUCUCUCCAGUCGGAGGGGCAAAAUCCCAUCUUGGUUAUCCACAUCACACAGCUUGAUUCUCAGUCAACCCGAACUCUGUCUUUAUAACUGCCCUGUUACGGAACAACGUUUGACAGAACCUAAGUUGGUGAUCCACAACUCGGAUUGUGCGAUAACCUCAGGUCUAAGGAUUACAUUGAUUGAGACAUGCAAAUGACGACCUACUCGUUGCAUCUCAAUAUGGGUCAGUCCGACUCGCUAAACUCUUUAGCCGAGUCCGUGUAAGCUGGAAUGACAUCACCAUGCCCAUGACAAGUGGAACCGAGUCAUCAGCCAACUUUCACAUUAGUCUAGGUUAUGUGUCCAGCACAACCUCAAUGACUAAGGACAAUUUAGUAUGAACAACAUGAAUACAUAGUUCCACAAUCAAAUCACAUAUUCAAUGAUACAUAUCAGAUGUUCAAACAAGGACAACUUAAUAAUAUUUAUGAAUACAUUGGGAAUUACAUCAUACAUGAUUGCCUCUGGGGCAUAUUCCCAACAAAUGGAAGUGCCACAACCGUCUGAGGGAGGGACGGGGAGAGAAAAGAGGAGCAUGCAACAUCACUCUAAUCACCGUGAAUCAUCAUGUAAAAUUGCAACCUGAGUAGGGAGGGGUGCAGGGCUUGAGCGACAACGGCGAUGGAAGGAAGGGGUGGAGGGUGAUACCAACAUGGACAUGAUGUCGAGCAGAGGCGGCGGAGCUACCGCCAGAUUUUGCCCGUUAGACUCUAGAUCCGGGUAGGAGAACGUGGGGUCUUUCCGUGGGCAGGGACAAUGACCACGAACUUCAGCAUGCGGCGGGUGGGGCGAUGUUGACGGCUUUGGCGGGGACUACGAGCGCAACCCGUUGCGUUGCGAAAUCCGGGUCCACAGAUCCGUACCGGCAGACACCGGAUCCGGGAAGAAGCCUGCAGAUCUAGCCGGGACCGCGUGUGCGACAACGAGCUCGAAGAGGGUUGCUGACGGGUUGGUGGAGGUGGACGCUAGCUGGUAGGUUCACCAGGUGAUCUUGGAUUCCAGCUGGUGGCGGGUGGAAAGACAACGGUCGCUCGUGGAGGGCCCCGUCACCGACGACGGGCGUAUGGGCAAGCGCUCGGUGACCACCAGCGACGAGGAUGAGGGGACGAGCCAUUGGUGGUUGGCGACACGGCUGGGGGUGGCGCUGUGACUGAUCUUGCCCGACAGUCGCCUGAUCCGGUGAAGAGGACUGUGGAUCUUGGUGGGGAUCGCGACUGCGGCAACGAGCACGAUGCGCGCACGGGAGGCGGUUGACCUGGUCAUGAAAAAGGGCUCACGGCAGCCUCCAUUGGCAGCGCCCCGGGCAUGCCGGCGACUGCCUCCGGCAGCGGCGAGGGAGGAGUUGGGUGUGAGGACAGGUGAGGCUUGGGCGAUAGGGUUCGCCCCCGAGUCACCCUGGAGGAGACGACGCGAUGACAAGCCAAUUUUUUUUUCGCUUGCCAGAGGGAACGAAUUGGAUGGCAGCGGACUGGGCGCUUGACGGAUGUUGUCAACCUUAGCAAGUAAAUAGUCUGGGAGGGAUAAAAUAGCACAAUGACCUACACAAUACGAACAAACUAGCGCACUGAUUAGAUAGUGCAUCUUCACCGGAUGUGGCAUGCAGUGCCUAAUGUUAGGUACCGUAUGGCUGGGAAUACAAUAUGGUCCGCUAUACGUACGACUUCUUUCCUACGAUGUUUGUAUAGACACAUCAAUUCAUCUAGUUUCAUGCGCAUCCCUGCCCUUCAUCGGCUCAGAAGAAAAAUCAUCAAAGUCACUAACUAACCUUUGGCCACGUCAAGUCGUACUUCCGUCGGACCGCAGAACGUCGCACGUGAGUAAAUUCCGUAUUCGGUUUGGAAAAAUCUACUUAGCAGUUACUCCUCUCAUUUCAUAAUUUUUGUCUCAAAUUUGUUCAAAAUAAUUGUAUUUAUUUCUAAAAAACGACUAGAUACAUAUAAUAUUUCAACAAGAAUUAUGAAACGGAAGGAGUAUACAAUACACCAUAUUCGUCGUGAUGAGCCUGAAACACUGUUCUCUUUUAUUGAACCAAGAAGGCUCUGCCAGUAGCACCGUCUUUUUUGUGCGGGGAGGGAAAACGUCCAACGCAUCCACGUUCUCCUACAUCCCCUCAAGGCCGAGUAUGCCAACUUACGGGAUCUUAAUUUGAUAUCCAUUCUUGCAAUGUUAUUUGUUACACUAACAUUUCAAAUAUACAAUGACCAUGAAUUAUUUAUUUUCUUAUUCGAAAUUUGAUAGUACUUUUAUUGUGUGUGCGACGACCAGUGUUGUCUGAUUCUGAAUCAAAAGAUAAGAGUAUAUACCUGCUCCAGCAUUCUUGCAUCCACAACAGACAAAGUCCAUCUCACCUUUUUGAGUGGCAUUACUGCACCUAGAGUAUUUCAGGAGAGAUAUUUGCGUGCUGUCAAAAUCUAAAAUUAUGUAUCAUGAAUUGUGGUCCGUUGAAGUUGCUAUCAUCCUGAGCAGACCGCACCACUUGCGAAAAUGUACAAUAUAGUGAGUUAACCUUUCUUAAUUAUCUUAUUACAGGAAAUCAUUCUUAAUUCUCUGGGUAGCAAAUAAUGGAGAUGUUUCACUGCUCAAGACUUUACAAAAACGCAGCGUCACUUUCAGUUAAAUUUGUGCCACAGCUUUUGGCCCAUAUCUGAUUGUUGAGAGUGACCCCGGAUUUCAGAAAGCUUUCUACAGAAAAAAGAUUGCGCGACCCUUGAAAUGCUGGCAGGACGCACCAACAUGGAUUUUUUUUUUUACCAUUGAAGUUACAGCUACGGUUUCUACUUGUUUUUUUUUAAACCCUCGCCAAAAUGGCCAUACUCCACAAUUAGACAUAACGGAGCACAACGUUCAGGUUUUGAAAUACGAUAUUCUACUUACCAUGAAUAUGCUUAAAAUCAUUCGAAUGAAGCAGAAACUGGCUCAGCGCUUAUAUAUAGUUCUAUAUCCAGGAGCCAAGGUAUUUUCAUGGCCACCAUGUAUUGUCUGCAUCCGAAAUAUUAUUCCGAUAUCAUAUUAAAAAACCACUGUCAGGUGUCAGCUACCUUCGGAACAUGCCACCGCACAGAUUUUCUCUGAUAGAGAAGUCCCUUCCAAUAGGGCUUUUUCAGAUAACAGAAGAGAUAAAAUCUCUUGGCCUAUGUUUCUUACUCCGUACAAGUUUUUUGCGUUAGAAAUUUUUGAUUAAUCGAAGAUGUCAGAAAGUGGCUCUGCCGCUCUGUCAUAUCUUCCUUUGGGAACUUGUAAGUUUGAUUCGCAUUACAACUUGCAGCAAUUCGCAUUUUCCCUUGAUAGGCAGCCAUAUAUCUUGCUUUCACCGGGGAUUGAAGAUGAGCCGAGGAGUAAAAUGUGGCACGGUGGGUUGUACCAUCCGUUCAUAAAUAUUGUUUGCAUUGUGAUCACUAAUCUGGUUGCGCACGGUGGGUUGCACCAUCCGCCAAUUUGUGGCCACCCGAAGGCACAAGAUAUUUUCUGCCAAUUUUGUGGUGACAAAACAAGAUGCUGGCCGAGGCUGGUAGCAGACAUGUCUUCCCACAAUUCCGUUUCUAGCAUGUAGAAGCUAGCUAGAUCAUGUCGCGCCAAUAGUUAUCGUGCUAUUUUUACGUGGUGUUGAUGAUACGACUGCCCCAUUUGGAGAUUUGUGGUCACGUCACGCCACGCCAGUGUCCUGAUAUUUUCGUGACCAAACCAAUAAUGCUUUCACGUCGCAUGAUUGUUGUACGACGUAUCACCUAUGUCACGUGCACAGUACAUACAAGCCAUAUUGUUUUUUUGAAAGUGUCUAUUUCUCAGUAACAAUGUCUAAUCUUAUAUGAAUCUCUAGAUUGAAUUAAAAAGUUAUUGUCAUCGAUUAAAAAUAGUUAUUUUUCAGUCACCUAAUAAAUAGUAAAACCCUUUUUUUUACAUCAGGACACCAUAUUGUUUUUCCGUCACCUCCUUCCUGCUACAAAAGCCAAAUAUGUCAAAAUAUGUGUGGACAAUCAUUAUUAUCAAUUGCAGGUCCUCUGGGAGCCUCACGUCUGCACCUGCUCCACGUAGGCCAGCGACAAAGUACGUGCUGCCGCUGAAUUUGUUUUUGUUUUUUGUGAGGUCUUGUGCUGCCACUCAAUUUGGCCCAAGUACGUGCCUUGCCCAGAUCCAACCUUAUAGGUAGCCCGCACAUGGCACAUCCAGGGCCGCUUCUUCACUUGCAGGUAGCCCACUGGUCCGUGGUCCGUAUGGAAGCCACAGGCCACAGAAAGGCCUUCUCUUGAAUGCGUUGGCUCUGAUAUGAUAGUAUGGCCCACGGCUAGCCAAAUCUGGCGUGCAAAAGUGGUCCUCGGGCCUGGGCAUGCGGCUAGAAACAGUCGAACCACAUGUCAGGGGCUUAGGGCCGAGUCUUACCUGACUUUCAGAAGUCUAUAUCUCGUCCUCACCCCAUUAGGCGGUUUUCAUGCUGAUGUGGUCAAUUUAGAACGGUUUUGCCGCUGACUAGGAUUGUGACCUCAGACGCGGCAGUUAUUGGUUUCAUUUCUCCUUUUUUUGACCAAAAAUCCUCUUUUAGCGCAUCGAGAGAUGCCGGCCAUGGCAACCAAGCGCGAGAGCCAUAGAGGCGGCGAGGAAGCUAGUGGCGGCGGGGAUGAAACUUGUUUAGGGCAUCGUCGUGGACCUCUCUGACUCUGAGCACAGCCUGGACAAGGGGGAGGAACGGAUCAACAGUUCAACGAUGUCCUCAUGUGCAGCUUCUGGGGAACGAUGUCAGCCACCGACAAGUGGCGAUGGCGCUCGACACGAGAUCGCCGGAGGGCUCCAAAUCUGAAAUCAACGGAGGGGAAAUAGCCAUGAGGUAUCAGUGGUGCUGUGGCUUGAAGGAAUUGAAGAAAGGAGAUCUCUCGCGGUCGCAAUGGACGGUCGCCGUCGACGAGCAGAGGUGGCACUUGGCUUCACUAGCAGUUGUAGGCCUUACCUCGCCGCCUUGUACAUCGCUUCUGUGCGCAGGUCACACACCAAGAUGCGCGGCCGCAUGCCGCCCUGCGUUGCGCAUUCCGCGGGUGACUGGCGUGCCGACCUGCGUUGCGUGGUGCUGGCGUUGGCGAAGACAGGGAGAGUUGGGCAGGCGCGGGCUCGGGUGAGGGCGAAGGGAGGCACGUGGGGUCCGAGCGUGCCUUCUGGAGGCAGGGGCGGCGCGGGAAGACUCGAAGGCGGCGUGGGCGGAGGCCAUGGAUUUCGGCUCGAACUCCAGCUCGGCCAGGGGUGAGGGCGAUGCCAACAGGGCAGGCGGCGGCGCGGCCUGGGGACGGGGCCAGGCGACAAGGCACGGGAGGUAGCUCGGACAGAGAGAGGAACGUGCAGAGGGGAAGAACAGGAGCCACAUCAGCACGUCAAAAAUUAUAAUAACAACAAAACCGUCCAAAAUUGGCCACAUAAUCAUGAAAACCGUCUAAUGGGGUGAUUUGUCCGGGUUUUUUUUUUAAUUUCAGGGUUAAAAAUAAACGGUUUUUGAUUCCGGGGGUUAUGCGUCCCUUGAGAUAUAUUUGAGGGUGAAAUACGAACUUUUUUCUACGUGAAACCUGUUAGCAGUGGAGCAUUUCUCUGGUACAAUAACGAAUUCGUCCCUUUUCUCCGCUAAAGAUGUCGUAUGGCCAAAAUGUGUAUAGAGAUUGGAGCAAGUGAAAUAAUCCUUUUCAAUCAGAAAUCAACCAUGUCCACGUGAUCCCUCAAAAAAAAAAAACCAUGUCCACGUGAAUGAAGUAAAGGCCCAAUUUGGGAACUCGAAAAUGUAAAGGCCCAUUUGUGGCCUGGUCACAUUUCAUUUAACAAGAUAUCCGAGGAGCAGGUCUGCUUAGAUCAAAGCAGAUACAACGCAAGGUGCUUAGACAAGUGAUUACGAAAAUAAAUCAAGCACUUUCUUAAGCAACUGUGUUUAUUUGUAUAAAGGAGGUGCCAAGUUAGGCAUCUACUUGGUCUAAAUAAGCACCAGUGCUUAACGAAAACCAGUUAAUUUUUCUAAACACCCACCUAGACAUCUUACAUUGUACAUGCUCUCAGGAGGAGGAGAAGACUAAACCCUAUCUGUCUUUGAAGAAAGUUUUGAUCUCCAUCGGUUCCCUUCGUCUCUAACAACCAAUAUGGCAUUGAGAAAUGGGAACCAUGGAUUACUGGCUGUCAUCUAGUUUUUUUUAUUAGGUUUAUGUGUUUUUCACGGUGGCAUCUUGACGUGGAGAUGACGUCGUCUAGAAGAUUGAUGUACUGACUCUGUCCUUGUUCUGAUGUAGGCGAUGCGGUCUACUCCAUGGAGUCAGUGAUUAUCAUGCCUCAUCUUUUGGUGUUUUUGGUCUUUUUCCUUGUCGAUUCAUAGCAGCAGUUUCACAGCUUGCCUUGCAACGGGUGUGUCUUCAGUCAUGGUGCAUUCAACGAUCUUAAGUUUUCACUGUUUGAGGUGGGCGACUCAUGCAGCUUCGCAAAACCUAUAAGGCCUCCUUCUUUUGGUCUUCUAGACCAGAUUAUAGGUUCCAGGCAGCUGAAACCCAAAAGAAGGAAAAAUUUCCCAACAGCUGCUACAAGAAGCCCAUCCCAACUCACGUGUAAAAUGAGCUUCUCGGAGUAACUGGUCUGGACCAGUUUCUUGGGCUUCACCACACUGCAGUUUUGGACUUGCCCUCACGGCGAACCGUAUUUACAUCCAAAUGCCACCGCCAAGUUCCCCGUUGCGAACCGUUACUCCCAGACCCGAGCGACCCCCUCGCCAAGUUCCCCAUCGUCUUCUCUCCCGCCGCCCUCCCAUCUCUCCCGCAGCCCCCCCCCCCCCCCCCUCCUCCUCUCAGGUGGCCUCCUCUAGAUCGUGAGACUCCAAUCCUUCUGUAGCCAUCCAUUUGCUGAUGUUGUAGCAAAAAUUGCGAUGAAUUUCAAUAAAAUGGAUGGGUCUAGAUCAUGAGACUCCAAUCCUCUCUUUGCGUAUUUUCUGUAGCCAACCAUUUGCUGCCUGGAGUAUAUGAUUCAAAAGGAUGCAAAAUACAUGUGUAUAAAAACAGCAGUGCAUGUGCAUAACGAGAUUGUGUGUGUAUAGUGAGAAUUUUCAGAUUUGUUGUGAGGUACGGUGCAUGUGCUAUGUGCGUAAACAGAAAGAAUGCAAUGAACUUCUUUGCACUUUAUGUUUUUAAUUAUAAUUUACCACUUUAUUUUGCUCAGAAUUCAUCUUAUUGGUCAAUUAUUUGGUUAAACAGUGAAUAACAAUGAUAUUAUGAAUUAAACAUGGAACAAUCAAAAUUCAGGGGUGUUAUGGACAAUUCCAACUCAAACCAGACAAUAAAUUGCAGUUUUAGAAGCCGAAAAAAAGAGAUCAGGAUAGCUUUUCAGAACUUCUUGUGGCAGCAGCUUCCCUCAGAAAUUCAUCUGAAACUGGUUUUUGGAGAAGCUGCAGCCGAAAAGAAGGGAGCCUAAGGUUAGUCUAGCCUAUGCAAAGAUGGAGUCAUGCAAUUUCGUGAUUGAAUACAUGGAGGAAUAUCAAGAUGCGAAUGCGGCGUUUAUUUCGAAUAACGGUGACGAAGCUUUUAGUUUUAUGAAGCAUCUUUGUUACUUUUUUCAUAUCAAUUGUAUCGAUACUGUACUUUCUUUUAUGAAAUAAAACAGUUAUUCCAGAAGAAAAAAAGCUAUCCGAGGAGAACGCACGCAACCGAUCUCAGCUUAUGUGCAGGCAGUUCUAACCGCCGCAACUGUCCAAAAAUGUGCGUGGAUCCGAUCAAAAAAAGAAAAGAAGCGCGUGGAUCGAAUUUUGUCUGCGCGCGAAACUGCUCCUAUUCCUGGACGCCACCAUCGACGUGGCAUCCGUUUUGCAACUUCCCACCCGAUAAGCAUCAAACGACCGAAGCGAUCAAGUGAGACGCUACCAAGUUUAAUUCCAUGCUCCCGGCCCGUUCCUAUAAAUACCGCAGGACACCGAAGGGAAACAGACAGGCCAGUGCAUGCACGCAGCUGAGCUUCUUUUCUUUGCUCUCUAUAAGUGUUAGCCAUGGCGUCGCCAUUCUCCGUGCCUUCGUUGGUGAGUGCGCUGUGUUCACAACGACGUCAUGUCCUAUAAUGCUAUGCAUUUCGAUUUAAGCUGACGCAGAGCGUGUGAUGAUGUUUGUUUUCUUAUCUCUGGGUACGUAUCUAGAUUAUGGAGGAGGAAGGUCGGUUCGAGGCGGAGGUGGCCGAGGUCGGGGCGUGGUGGAACACGGAGAGGUUCCGGCUGACCAAGCGCCCCUACACCGCCCGCGACGUCGUGCUCCUCCGCGGCACGCUCCGGCAGAGCUACGCCUCGGGCGAAAUGGCCAAGAAGCUCUGGCGCACGCUCAAGUCCCACCAGGCCAACGGCACGGCCUCUCGCACCUUCGGCGCCCUCGACCCCGUCCAGGUGACGAUGAUGGCCAAGCACCUGGACACCAUCUACGUGUCCGGGUGGCAGUGCUCGUCGACGCACACCUCGACGAACGAGCCGGGCCCGGACCUGGCCGACUACCCCUACGACACGGUGCCCAACAAGGUCGAACACCUCUUCUUCGCCCAGCAGUACCACGACCGGAAGCAGCAGGAGGCGCGCAUGUCGCUGCCCCGCGCCGAGCGCGCCCACGCGCCGUUCGUGGACUUCCUCAAGCCCAUCAUCGCCGACGGCGACACGGGCUUCGGCGGCGCCACGGCAACGGUCAAGCUGUGCAAGCUCUUCGUGGAGCGCGGCGCGGCCGGGGUGCACCUGGAGGACCAGUCGUCCGUGACCAAGAAGUGCGGCCACAUGGCCGGGAAGGUGCUCGUGGCCGUGUCGGAGCACGUGAACCGCCUCGUCGCCGCCCGGCUCCAGUUCGACGUCAUGGGCGUCGAGACCGUCCUCGUGGCGCGCACCGACGCCGUGGCCGCCACGCUGAUCCAGACCAACGUGGACGCGCGCGACCACGGCUUCAUCCUCGGGGCUACCAACCCGCGGCUCAAGAACCGGAGCCUCAACACCGUGCUCUCGGACGCCAUGGCGGCCGGCAAGAACGGCAUGGAGCUCCAGGCCAUCGAGGACGAGUGGAUCGCCACGGCGCAGCUCAAGACCUUCUCCGAUGCCGUCAAGGACGCCAUCGCCGCAAUCCCCAACACCACCGACCACGACAAGAACCGCAAGCUCCAGGAAUGGAGCAACGCCACGGGCGGCUACGAGAAAUGCAUUUCCCACGAGCAAGCGCGGGAGCUCGCCGCGAGCCUGGGAGUGCCUUCGUUGUUCUGGGACUGGGACCUGCCGCGGACCAGGGAAGGGUUCUACCGCUUCCGGGGGUCCGUGGCGGCGGCCGUGGUCCGCGGGCGCGCAUUCGCGCCGCACGCGGACGUGCUCUGGAUGGAGACGUCGAGCCCGGACAUCGCCGAGUGCACGGCCUUCUCGGAGGGCGUGCGCGGGGGGCACCCGGAGACGAUGCUGGCGUACAACCUCUCGCCGUCCUUCAACUGGGACGCGUCCGGCAUGACGGACGCCGACAUGGCCGCCUUCAUCCCGCAGGUGGCCAGGCUGGGGUACGUGUGGCAGUUCAUCACGCUCGCCGGGUUCCACGCCGACGCGCUCGUCACCGACACGUUUGCGAGGGACUUUGCCCGCCGCGGCAUGCUCGCCUACGUGGAGAGGAUCCAGAGGGAGGAGAGGAGCAAUGGGGUGGACACGCUGGAGCAUCAGAAGUGGUCGGGCGCCAACUUUUAUGACAGGGUGCUCAAGACCGUCCAGGGCGGCAUCUCCUCGACAGCAGCCAUGGGCAAAGGCAAGUUUACCCUGGGUUGACACUUGAGACAUACAGUAGUAUUCUGAAUUUCUGAUGACAUCUCACCUGUAUUGAUUUUGUUCUUGUAGGAGCUACUGAAGAACAGUUCAAGGGCUCAUGGGCUAGGCCCGGAAGUGAGAGCAGUGGCCAACACGUUCUUGCCAAAUCCAGGAUGUGACGAGAGUUGUGAUAACGAAGAAGAGGGAGCUCUAAAAUAAUUGGAUAAUAAUAAAAGUGCAAUAAGGUCAUCGAUAGAGCUCCUGCAAAUAGAUAUUUUCAAAUCAAAUCGAACUAUAAUUGGAGUACUAGUUACUACUAUCUGAACUGAGUUAUAUAGCUCAAAUUGGAAAUCUCCAUUUGGGUUAAACUGUAUUGAUGUGAUGCGAAUCUUUUAGAUCGUCAACUGGAUAAUGGAUAUUGGAUUACAUCACAAUCCGUUGAGCACUCUUCUGCAUAUGAACUCAAAAACCGCACUGAUGCUACUGGGUAUUGUAUUACAUCAACCUGCAUAUAGUUGAAAUCAAGUACUCACAUGAAUAAUUAAAGCACCCAAAAAUUAGUUGUAGUACAUCAGAAAGGUUCAAUGACAGUUUCAAGGAAGUUGAUGCAGACAGGAUGUUUGGAAGGUACGUCCCGCAAUGAGGGUUUUGUUGUUCUACUUAGCCCAAGGCUUCAGAAUUGAUAGCACGAUGAUCCCUGCAAUGACGAGAAGCAUGAUAAUUGCAAUCAUCAUGCACUUCCUUGACUUUUUCUGCAGGUUCUUGGCGCUGCGCAGCGCUUCAGUACCAGUUUGCACAUGGUUUACAGCAUUCUGAACCUGAUAGUUCAAAUAAUCAGCAAGUAUAAACGACAGAGUUUUCAGUAAAAUUGGCGAGCAAAAAGAGAAGUACUGACUUGGCUCUCUAUGUUGUCCAAUAUCUCCCCUUGUGCGUCGACCAGUGCUGCCAUGUCUGUAAAAAUCUGAGAACAAAAUGGUACCUGUCAUAAUUCGGAUACAGUUUUGCCAGGGGUACUAUGUGCUGAACUAUGAACAUUGCAACCGCAAUGAUCAUAUGAGAAGGAGGGAAUAGUACUAAAAACUCUUGCAGUCCUGAUUUAUAACUCAAUAAAUUUCGAAGUUUUGCUUUUUCAUGAAGUCAGAGGAUCUAGGAAAAAAAACAACCUGUUGCAAUUCUAGCAGCUUCUUUUCAAUAUCCAUGACCACAUCAUGCCGUUCCUGAAUUUCUUCAACCGUGGCCAUAAUCUACUCGCGAAGUGCAUUUUAUCAAACAUAAGUAAGAAGGUCAGACGAACAUGAGACGAGGCACACAUGUACUUAGUGAAAUAAUACACCAGAAUUGACCUGCCCUCGACCAAUUCCCUGAAUUGCUUUCUCGAAGAUCUGCUCGCUGCUGCCAGUCUCAAUUAGGUUGUCAACCACCUAGACAUGUUUUGUGGAGCAUUGGAAUCAGAAGAGUACUAUUGCAUUCUCAUGUACCUAAUGUAGGAGAACAAGCAUAGUCACCUCCUCAGAAGGCUUUGUUCCAGUAACUGAAAUGAAAUUUCAAAAGAAACUGAAAUGAAAUUCCAACUUUCAGGUUUGUCAUGGAUUGUUUAAAAGACAAUUCAAACUAAAAUCAUAAUUAAGCAAGAAAAGGCCCCUGACCUGUGAAAAUCCUCCUCUCAACAACUUCUCGGUACUCUUGUUGGAUAGUUUGCCUUAGAUUCUGCAACAAACAAGGAUUACUAUACUGCAAGAUCAUUAUUUUUUGGCACAGAAGAUGGACAGUGGGUUGGAUAAUCAAACCUGGAAAUCUUUCAUUCUUUCUUUAAGCUUCUUCUUCAGUGCACUGCAGUCAUCAAGAACUAGUAAUAAAUCACCCUUUCUGUUGUUGGAAAAAGCAACAUGUGCAAUUGUUUUCUGUCUGCUUAAAAUACUUUUGGACUAACUAGUUCCCUAGAACUGGAUUCCAGUCAAUUUAUUUUACAUAAAAAUGAGUUUGGUGAUUGAAGGAUCAGAGUCAAAUCAACUUGAAUUUACUACUACCUCCGUUCCAUAAUUCUUGUCUCAAAUUUGCCCCAAAAUGGAUCUAUCUAUUCCUAAAAAACGUCUAGAUACAUGUAAUAUUUCGACGAGAAUUAUGGAACGGAGGGAGUAUAUUAUAGGUACAGUGUUUCUCGAGAUUAAAAAUAUCCUGUUGUAGUAAUCUAUAGUAUACACUAGCACCAAACAGGUAUCUGUACCAAGUUGUUUUUUCAUGAUUAAAUUUACUCAAGAGGGACAAAGAUCUUACAUGGUCAUCGACAUCCUCGAUCUAUCUACACCUGUCCCCUUCCCACAAUCUGGCUUUUUUCUGUUAUUAAGAUUCUGCAAACACAAAAAGGAGAGUAAGCUCAGAAAUAGCCCUGAACAUCAUCAGGUGUGUUCAUAUACUGCAGAUCUGGAGAGGUCUAUGUACAUUUCUGUCCAUUUGCUCUAACUUCAUUUUUAUGUUACGUGCGAUCUUCCCCACUUCAUCGAUGUCUUUCUCCAUGCGCCCUUUGAUUGCUGGAAGAUAUUCAUUUCAUCAUUUGAAUGUUCCAUUUAGAAAUGCAACUACGGAGUGAGUAGGAAACAUGAGCAUUGGCAGGUGGAGUUCGCACCUUUCAUUGCGGAUGCCUUAGUGACUGAUUUUGACUCCUCAUUGGCUUCCUAUAGGUGAGAAGAAAAACACAAUUGCCAACAGCGGAGGUUAUAAACUAAGGUGAUGGCAAAAUGCAAGGAUCGGAUAGUCAUGCAUGGAGAUCUAGCAUUUCUGAAACGUUGGAAGCAAAAACAAAAUUACCUGAAGUUUCUGAACUAUGUUUGACAUCUUGUCCAGAAGCAUCUCUAUGUCUUUGACCUAGAUCAAGAGGCCCUAAUUUAAGAAAACCCAGUGGCUACAACAAUUGUAGUUGACAUUUAAAUGCAUGAAAAGUCUGGACGGACUAGAUAGAUAACCGACUUCUUCGUAGAAGUCCUCGAGUCCAUAAUCUGAUUUGUUCUUGGAGUUUCGACGCCCCAUCUCGAUGUCCCUCUCCUUUGGGGGCUUCUCGUCCAUUUCAAAAGAAUCCUACAAUUCGAUAUAAAGCAUCAGCAGCAAGAACUAUCUAGUUAUCAACAAUCAUAUGCUGUGAAGUCAUCUACUGUGGCAUAAUUGCAGGUUUGAGUCGUUUGCUACAAGUUUCAAGAAGUUUUUUAAGAUAUUCUGAGUUCGUCACACACUCAUGCUUGAGAUAUCAGGAAUUAAUCAGGGCUUUCGCAGCCCGUCGUCGUCUAAUUACUGACCUAUGAUGAAACUAAAGGAAUAAAAGGAACUGUAAAGCAGUUGGUUGCGCGAACUGUCUCUGUUUGUUGGCCGCUCGCACACAAAAUUGAAGAACAAGGAAGAAAAAGAAAGGAACUGCACAAUAUGGACAGAAAUAAUCCUGUGGACUGUAAAGAACAACGUACCGUCAGAAGAUUGUUCAUCUUGUCGUCUUGAUUUCGUGCAGAGAGAUACACAAGACAGAAAGACGAGAGACAGAGAGAGGAGACGAGGAAGAUGAGAUCAAGGAAACGUAUGCUGCGAGCGCGGCGGCAACUUUGGAGAGAUGGUGGUGGCGUUGUCGUGGGACGCCGGCCAGCGAUGGAACCAAAUAACUAGCAGACGGCCGAGUUAGUAAGAAAUCAAAAGCGACGUUAAUUCCUUUCUUGCACUGGGUCCCGGAACAGACCCUUCCUUCUUCUCUUCUCCUGGGGGACGGACAGACAGACGCAAGAGACGGCGACGUCGUGCAACGCAAGGGCCCAUUCUGCUCGGUGUAUUACCGUGGGGACGGUUAAGCUGUACCACACGUGAAGCUUGAGUAUGCUGCAACUGGCGCGUCUGCCAUGUCGGAGAAGCAGAGGCGUUGCUGAAUUCGGCCAACUGGGCUGGCCCUAAAGAGCCAGGGGUCCAAGCCGCUGUUGUACAAACGUCCUCUCACCUAAUGGGCUGGCCCAUUUAGAAAUUGUACAUGUGAUGUUCAAGUUUUAUUCUUAGGCUCUAGACAAAUGUUCACGUCGUUGUGAUAAUUUGUUCACUCGUACCCAUGUAUAUUCAUUGCAAAGUUGUAAAAACAUAUCAGAACCUGUACAUGAAAUAUCCACAAAACAUAUAUUUCCAUGAAAAUGAUUAACAAGAGUUUAGCUAUCCAUGUGCCCUUCACGGAAACUCAACUGAACAUGCACGACCAACAACCGUGCGACGGAACUAACAGAAGGAAAAGGUCCAUGCGAUUAUAACACUCACGUGGACACUUUUUACGUGAGAGAAAAGCAAAUAGACAACUAAUUAUGUAGAUGCAACGAGAUUAAAUAUACAUCGGCGUCGCCGGACGAUUGAUAUAUACGGCGGGACUGGGAUUGGGCAAGGAGCCUAGGAUUUGUCAAAGGUGACGAUUUCUGGUUGUAAGUCACGUCUGCUCUGACAGUGGAGUAACAUAGGUGGUAACAUAAAUGCCAACUAACCAAAUUUGGUGAUGUGGCAUGUUAUUAAUGAGGAGAGAGAUGUUUGUGCUAACCAAAUAUGUUACCAUAACAUUACACAAACCAAUGUAAGAUGAGUUUAUAAACUUAUAAAUGAUAUAAUGCAUGACACCACAUAUAUGUUACUACCCACUAUGGAGGUAAUAACUUAAACUAGUAACAUACACAUGUUACUAAUCUAAGUUACUCUCCACUAUGAACCGUCAAUCUGAGUCUCAAUAACUUCAUUCUCUCUUAUUGAGGUUGAAUGCCAAUAUCAAUAUCAAAUUCUCUUAUUGCCAACUCCCAGAAGAAUUUUCGAACUCCGAGUCCGAGGUGACUGGCCUCUAAUUGAGCCCACGUUGGCAUACGUACGUGGACCUCUGUGAGCAAUUGAGUAACCACACAGUCCGCACUAAGUUUUUUUUUGCCAAGAAACGCAGGAGCUCUGCCAUGCAAUAUUAGAAGGUAGGAGAAAGUAUAUGUACAAGAGAUCGUGUCUCAAAACAAGUGAAAACCAAAAGAGAAAGGAAAACAGCCGCCCCAUCGGACCAAACACGUACAGUUGACCGAUAAGGCAGAGAAAACACCAAACGACCCCACUACGCGGUAUAUGGAAGAUAAUGCAAGCCUAUGGGAGUCGGUAGCGUCACGGGCCAUCAUAACGACGACGAAAGCCGGGGCGGCCACUACCUGGAAUAUACGCCUGUUACUUUCUUUCCAAAUGUUUCACAUGAUGUAAAUAGCCACUCCAUUGAAUUCACCUUUUCUGUUCUUCUCGACCGCCUUGGAGGUAGGAAUCCACCACGCAAUAGCGUCACUGUAGUCAGAGAGUUUGACUUGUUAAAGGAUGCCAAGACUAGCUGUAGUGCCAAAGCAAUAUCCCACACUUGGCGAGCCAAGGGGCAUCCAAUGAAAAUAUGGGUCCUGAUUUCAUGGGGUUCGGUGCAACGGGAGCAACCCGGAAUGUGCAGCGAGAGAGAGAGUCUUGUUCUGAGCGAGGAGCCACACACAAAGAAUUUGCAUUUAUUUUCAGCUUUUUCUUUCCAAACAAUUAAUAUUAGUGUGUUGGACAUGGAUGGAACCAAAGAAUUAGGCUUGUACGCAGGCGUAGAUGUCAGUCCGCACUAAGUUGACUGACCUCGUUUUGAGAGCUAGUGUGAUCAAAUUAUUAACGUAAGUCGACAGGAGUGGAAGUUUUGAGCAUGCCAACGUACGUGGAGUUCGUUACCCUGCAACACGAGCAUAUUUGACUGGGCCAGCUCGUACGUGUUUUCAAAGCUCCUGAGCUAGUGGUCCUUCACGCACGAGCGUGUGACUGGGUCACAAACUCUGGGGAUUGAUUCUGUGUAACCAUUAAUUGCAACUUUCAGGAAGCAUCAUCAGCCAGAAGCUCGAACUAAUUAUUUUCUGCACUAUAAGUAGGUGGCAGCAAAGCACACUCAAAAGCACACUGAACCACGGUACUACAGUGCUCCGGAAAAAGAACUGUACUCCUAGCUAGUAGCUAUAGUUCAGCAGUAUACUCCGGAGUAGUAGUUCCCAACGACCAACAGGAGAGGUGGUGUCGAUCAUCCCGAUUGAACGUAGCUUCUUCGUCCUCUAGCCAGCUGCUUCUACGUACGAGCGCGCGCAUAUUGCCCGAUGGCUCCAGACCCCAACAACUUCGACGACUCUGGGCCAAAGCAUAUAGGCGGUUCUUCUGCAAAGACGAUUGACUGGUAUAUAUGCUUGUUAUAUAUGCGCUCGAUUUUAAGGUAUUUGCAUGCACCCUCGUCUUCGUGGCGCAUGCGUGCACUUCCGGUACGUACAGGGCGAGCUGAUAUGUAUUUCCCAUAUCAAUCUACAGGGACAACGAGGAGCACUGCCGGUGCAUCGCCGAUUGCCUUGUAAAAGGCACUUACGUCAUGUGCGGGGCGAGAGAAGAACUUGCGCCGGCGUGGUCGGAAAACUUCCAUUUCCGGCUCAAGAGAAGCCCUCACCGUCACUGAUGACCGACGCACCCCGACGCACCCCGACACCCGUCCGCUCAUCUUUGGUGCCAUCUACGAGCGCAUGCCCGACGCACCCCGACACCCGUCUGCUCCUCACUAUAUCGUCGCCUUCCGGGGCACCAAGCUGAAGCACGCCAAGAUGGCAGCCAAGAUGCAAGACCUCGACGAUGACUUCCAUAUAUUGGUGAACACCCUGCGGGACACGAAGCGGUACCGACGCGCACGCGAAGCGGUCGACGAGCUCCUAAACGUCAAUAAGGACGAAGCUAACCCUGAUAGCAGCUGCGUCGUGUGGCUCGCCGGGCACUCUCUGGGGGCGGCUGUGGCGCUGGAAUUGGGGCGGGCCAUGAUGUUGGAGCGGGUCGAUGAUCAGCGGAACCUCCCGACCUUCCUCUUCAACCUACCACGGGUGUCAUUGGCAUCGCUGGUCGACAUGCUGCUCCGUAAAGACAAGAGGGACGCCCUUUACGCCGCGAGUAACACGGUGAAGGUCGGCGUCGUGUCGGUCCUCAGUGAGCACCAGAAACGCAUGGAGAAAAUCUUCGAGCGGCUGGCCAGGUGGGUCCCGAAUCUGUACGUGCACGAGAAGGACCCCAUCUCCAACGGCCUCAUUGGUCACUUUGGGCGGCCGCAGCAGCUCCGCGAGUGGUGCUGCCCCGAUAUCGUCGCCAAGGCAGGGAUGCAACUGUCGCACCGUGACAUGUUCAGCUCGUUGUUUGGCCAGGAGAAGAUGCAGCCGUGCCUCCUGCCGUCGGUGAUGUUAUGGAUAAACUCGAGCGUCGACGAGCAGGCGGGCAACUGGUUCGACCUGCGGUUGGCGGCACACAAGCUCCAGCAGUGGUGGAAACCGAACAGCGAGCUCGAGCAGGCGGUCAACUUGUUCGUCCAGUGGUUCGACCAGCGGUCGGCGGCACACGAGCUCCAGCAGUGGUGGAAACCGAACAGCGAGCUCAGUUUGAGCCCCAGGCGACAUAUCUUUUUUGAGGAUAUGCACGGCACGGAUACGGGAUACGGACACCGUGACACCACAAUUUCUCAAAAACCCUGAUACGGGGAUACGUGCAUAAACUUCGUAUUUCUAUGCCAGUGGUUGUUCUGGUGACCAGAUGAUUGAAGAGGAGUCUUCAAAGUGGAAGAUUGUAGGUCUACUGAGUAGUCCUUUGUACUUUACAUAUAAAAGGUUGUCUUAAGUUCAAAACAUAACUUGAGAUUUUUCUUUGAUUUUAUAUAUAUAUAUAGAUCUCAACAGCUUGUAGUCGUGUAUAGUUAGACGCUCGAGUAGUUGGGAUUGUUCCCGGUCUGUUUCUUCUGUUCCCUGUAAAAUCUCCUGUAAAUCUCUCCCGAUGUAACUUCCUGGUUUCUACUAUAAAUACAACAGCGGCCCGAGGCAAAAGGUUCAACGCUUCCCAUCUCGGUUCUGUUUCUUUACAUAUGCGCUAAUAUCGCCUACAAACACCACAUCUGAGCUCUUUUAAAAGAUCAGGCAGCCUAGCUAGGCAGGAAGGUGUGGCCUUGAUGAUUAUGCUUGUGGUGUGGGAGCAUGGAUUUUCAUGGAUGGAGAGAAAUACGUGUGUGUUCUAAAACGUGUCAACUUUAUUUUUUUUUCGAAGAAUCGGGAGCUUUAUUACUCAGGAAUAGGGUUACAAUCCGAAGCAACAAAAUGAGAAAUAAGCACUGGAUUGGAAUAUCGUCAACCCAAACAUUGGUGACCCGUGACCCGUUCCCUGCUUGCAAGACUAGCUAGCUAAUCUGCAAUCCUAUUUUGAUGACGACUGAUUUUCACGAGUAAUAGCUCCCUCAGGCCACUAAUAAGCGCCUGCUCAACCUCCAUAAUCCGCGAAUAUAUAGAUCGAUCUAGCCCAGGUUCCAUCAUAUACUUGAUGCACACAACACUAUCAGUUUGGAUCAGACCAGGCCCCAACUCAAGCUGAUUAGUCAGCCUGAUGCCAUCGACAAUUGCAUGAAGUUCUGCCUCCAAUGCAUCUGUGCGCCCUGGGAGAAUGCAGCAAAAACCAGCCAACACCACCCCAUCAUGAUCACGGAUAACAACAGCACAUCCAGCAUUACCAACUAGUAAACAUUUGGACAUCCGUCGGUGCUCAACACUUACAACUCCUUUGACACCCAUCAUUUUAUUUUUAUUUUUUUGACGAUCAAGGCAGGUGCUCUGCCGUUUCAUUAAAGAAGAAGAGAUCCGAUCAAUACAAAAUUAACAAAGAAGAGAAAGAAAAAGGAUCCGAAGCUGAACAAGAUCAGCUCGGCUGUACAACUACCAGAACUACAAGCCUCCGGCCAACAUUAAAAACUCCAAGUCCUCGUCAAUGAGACUCUUAACAGCAGGAACUUCAGCCUUCUUGCCAUGAAAAAUCCUGUUGUUUCUCUCUUUCCAUAUGUUCCAGACUACAUAUGCCCCAACGAUCACUGCCUUCUUCCUCUCCGUCAACAUGGCCGAGGACUGUAGCUUCCUCCACCAUAGAGGGAUACAGUCAGCAUGAGAAGCAGACCGCGCCACCUCCGGGAGCAGAUCCUUGACCCUGUGCCACAGCUCCUUGGCGAACGGACAUUGCAAGAAAAGGUGAGCAGCUGACUCCAACACUUGGUCACAGAAAACACAGCAAUCAUCAUGAGGUCAUCCACGGGCACUCAACCGAGCCGCAGUCCAAAUUCUGCUCUGGAGCAAGAGCCAAACAAAGAAUCUGACCUUGCCUUCCACUUUGAUUUUCCACGCUUUUUUCCAACAUUGGCUGGCGAAUCCUCCCAAAGAAUUGGCAGAGGUAAGCAGAUUUAGCCGAGCAGAUCUCAUUAGCCUCAAACCUCCAACGAACAGAGUCAGCAUUCAAAAAUCAACUUGUUUGGCCAGCGCAAAUUGGUACAUGAAUUCAAAUCUUUAAUUGCAUGGAACCACACUAUAACUAACCCUAAUUCUUCUCUAAAAGCCAAAAAUUCUCUAGAAUUGUUUCUCAUUGUACAAAUCUAUGUGGCAGACAAACAUGUAUUUUGAAUCCGCAAUUCAAAUUCAACCAAAAGAAAUCCUAUCAAAAAUUUGUUAGGAGUAAUCCUUUGUUUUUUUUCUUGGUGACCUCUUUAUGCCUUUUACUCUGAUGAGAAAAUACACCGCUGGUCUGUUAACUUGACAUGUAUGUGCAGAUUAGUCACUGUAUGGACAAGUAAAGUCAGAAAUAUGAAUUUGUAUUAUUUAGAAUGCUAAAUUUGAGUGUUACAACUUGACACGUAUGAACAAGCAAGUCAAAAAUACGAAUUUGUAUGUUUCGGCUCCCAUGACAUGCCAACCAACCUAGACUGCUGGUCGAGCGAGAGCUUUUUUUUUUUUUUGAAGGGAGCGAGAGCUUUUUGGCCCGAAGUUAUUCUGCAGAGGUAAUUCGCGAAGACUGUAUCUUGUAAACCGGCCCUUCUUCCUCGCUCGGUCGAAUCCCCAUCCCCGAAAUCCCUAAUUUUCUCCCACGUUGACUCCGCGAGCCUGUCCCGGUGCUGUCGCCCGUGCGGCCGCUUCCUCUGCCCUUUCUGUGCCCUCGAUCAGGAUAGGUGCGUUGGGAAGCAAUGCACGAGGCCUACGGCGGCCGCGGGGGCGCGAGCGGGCGGUGCAAGCCGGGGCAGCGGCGGGGAAGGCUCGGGCGCUCGCCGGGCGAGCAGGGACGCGAGGCGCGGCGGCCGGCGGGACAUGACGGCAGGUCGCGUGCGUCGGGCGUCGUCGUCGGUGGGGCUUGGCCAUCUGCGACGGCUGGGCGCGCCCGCGUCCGUGGCGGCGACUGGGAGGUCGGCGGCAUCGGCGGGGCUCGGUUGUCGCGGCGGCGCCGGGUGCGCUCAACGGGCGGCGGCACGAUGGCUGGAGCUCUGGCAUAGAGGGAUAGCGUUGGCACGAUGCGGAUGAAGCAAGAAGACAGCAAACAGUCACUGACCUGCGGGACCGUGACGUCAGUGGGGCGAGAACGAGAAAAAGAGACAUUGACUUUGCGCUUCCGUACAUGUCAAGUAGUUGUAACACUCCAAUUUAGCAUUAUUUGCAAGUACGGUGACUAAACCAAGUUAAUAGACUAACGGUGCAUUUUCCUCUUUUAUUGUUGUACAGUUUUUUCUAAUUAAUGAAUUGAGUCUAUUAUUUUGCAUUUAUAUAAAGAACGAUUUUGCUACAUUUAACUCAUUUUAACUUUAUUUAGAAAUAAGUUGAUUCCUCACUCAUUAGAUAUAAUUUGUGCUUUAGGAUUCAAAAUGAAAGAUAGAAAUAGAAUAAUGGAAUGGUGUUCAAAUACUAAUACAACGGCUCUGACUCGAUCCUGCACUAAGGAACAGACGUCUUUUUUGUGGGGGUGUGAAAGGGUAUUUGGUCAGUGUGGGAUUUUCUUUUUUCGAAAAUUCUAAUUGGGACAUGUUUCAACCCAUGUCAUCGAGUGGCACAUCCCGUGGAUCCAGAGGCACCUCCCAAGCUUUCUCCAUUUGACCAUUUGGGAGUACUUAGACAAAAAUGCAAAACUAUAACCCAAUGUCAUUGGAAACCCUUUUGUCCAAAUGUUAUCUCCACCUCUUUCAUUUCUUCUCCAAAUUUGUGAAAAAGAAUAUGAAGUGUUCACUUGUGCGAAAAUUGUCACAAACUUGUGCGUUUGCCCAUUUGUGUAAACAAAAUCAUGAGAAAGGCAAAUAGGAGCUUCCAUUGAACAUUAUGGUAUUUUUUCUAUCCCCACUUUGGACAAAUAUGGAGUUCAAAUGAGUAGUCGUCCUUGGAGAUGCCCUAACACCCAAUCUGAGCACAAUCAUGCAUGUGCCCCUGUCCACCGUGGACCCAUUCCGGUUGAGCGCUGCCAUGCCCACGGUCAACGGCAAUGGAGGUUCCCAACAGCCCAACGUGAGAUAAGUGUCCACAAAAGUAAACAUUUCACUGGGUCACUCCCGUAUAUUCAAAGAACGUAAGCUCCUUAUCUCUUCGGCCAAGGGAACCCUCUUGUCCUAUGCACGUAGACCUUCCUCUCCCAGUGGACUUAUUUUGAGUAACCGUUACAAGUUGCAACUUACAGAAAGAAUCCUUAGCAGCUGGCAGCUGAAACUACUUGUAAUUCUAAAGUCCAACCCAUGUUACAUAUAUGCACCUCGUAGGAGAGUUACAUUCGCGCCAAAAGCAGAGGAGACUUGGGCACACAGCACUAGCUUCAUCUUGAUCCGUAGUUCCCAAGACUGCCAAAAUGGCUUCAAGCGUUGACCUUGAAGACCGCUUUGACAUCUCCGGGCCGACGCACAUCAUGUCCAGAGCCGGCGGCACCGGCCGUUCUUCUCCAACGACGAUUGACUGGUAUGUUGUCGGAUCAGCCUUAGUCCAUGCCUAUAAGUGCAUCAACUGAUCCAUGUCAGUGGAUUACAGGAACAAGGAGGAGCACCGCCGUUGCGUGGCCGCCUGCAUCGUGAAAGGCACGUACAUCCUGGAGAACGACAGGACCAGGUGCAGGGUGCACGCGGAGGCGCUGGCGCCGCCGUGGUGGGAGAGCUUCCACUUCCGCCUGGUGGACGUGCUCAAGGACGAGUCGUACAAGCGCAGCGGCGACAAGUUCAUCUUCGGCGCCAUCUACGAGCACGUGCCGCCCCCGGGCGGCCGCCACCACCACCCAUCCGCUCCACGGUACGUCGUCGCCUUCCGUGGCACAAUGCUGCUGCAUCCCAAGGCGAUCCACGACCUGUGCCUCGACUUCAAGAUCCUGGUCAACACGCUCGCGGAGUGCAAGCGCUCCCAGCGCGCGCACCAGGCGGUGGACACGCUCCUCAAGACCAUCGCCAAUGGCAAAACUGCCGCAGGAGGAGGAUCAUCCGACAGCGUGUGGCUCACGGGGCACUCUCUGGGCGCGUCGCUGGCUCUGGACGUGGGGCGGGCCAUGAUGUCGGAGCAAGGGCUCAGCAUCCCGACGUUCCUCUUCAACCCGCCGCAGGUGUCGUUGGCUCCGGCCAUCAACAAGCUGCUCCCGUCGGAAGGGCUGAGGAGGGAUUUGUACGCCAAGAGCAACCUCGUCAAGGCCGGGCUCGGGCUGGUGCUCAGCCCACACAGGAAACGCAUGGAGAAGCUGUUCGAGCUGCUGUCCCCGUGGGCGCCGAACCUCUACGUGCACGACAAGGACCUCAUCUGCCAGGGCUUCAUCGACUACUUCGGGCAGCGGCAGCAGUGGGAGGCGCAGGAGGAGCAGCGGUGCCGCGGCGGCGUGUCCAAGUCGUCGUCGGCGAUGACGCUGUCGUACCGUGACAUGCUCUUCUCCGUGCUCGGCAAGGAGAAGGAGCGGCCGCACCUCCUGCCGUCGGCCACGCUGUGGAGGAACUCCAGCGUGGGCAGCGACGCGCACGGGCUCCAGCAGUGGUGGAAACCGGACGGCGAGCUGAGGUUGAGUGACAGGCGUUAUAGCUAUCCUUGAGCAUGAACUUGUGUGCCACGUUGUAUGCUGCUUGUUUGUCAGAUUACUGUGUAUCUUCUUACUUAUCAUUUUCUCAGUGAUGGAGACUAGACGCUAGGUUUAAUUUAAGGGGUUCAGUAAAUGUCUGUUUGACCGUUCCCUAAUUGGGCGACAGUCAAUUUUUUCUUCGGAGAUUCUAGUUUUGAUCUUGGUGAACGUUUAUGCCCGAAAUGAACUAGAGUGAUAGUUGGGGCCAACUCCGAGCAUUGACUUGACAAAAAAUUUGCUUCCGUCUAAACGUAGAAUAAACUUUUGAACACAACUAAAAUUCAGUAGGACAAGUUUUGACCAUCGUCCAAACAUAUUCUGAUCUCCUCCUCUCAGAGCAUCUACCAUGCAUGGUGCUUAGUGAGGUGUUUACAAAAAAUAAACCAGUUUUUACUUAAGCACGUGUGUCUAUUUUGUACGGGACAGGGCACCUCUAGUAUAGAAAUAAGCACCGGUGCUUAAAAAACUGGUUAAUUUUAUAAGCACCACCUUAAGCACUUUGCAUUGUACAUGCUCUCAUGCUCCUUCGCUAGCAUCACCCGUGAUGUUCUCAACCAAGAACCAACCGACAAAGCGAUGUGGCCAACUUGCCAUGGUCUAUGCCUCCCAAUGCCGCUCGACACUGCCACGGGAAACCGGAAAGGGCGCUAUGCCCAAUCCCAUGACGGUGGUAGAUCUGCAUUCGGUGAGUCCACUCGCUAGCCAUCGGUCCCCCCCCCCCCUUCUAAAAUCCAAAAUCAUAUAUAAAGAAAAGGUUGUGUCAAGUUCAAAACAUGAGGCACCACACACAACAUCUCUUGACGAGGCAAGCAAAACGAUAUAUGGGGCGCAGCUGGGGAGGCAAACCCUAGCCGCCACCGCCACCGCCACCCCUCCCCUACCCCUCCACCCUCUUCCUGGUCUACCUCCUCCUCCUUGCUACCGCUUGAGACGGAGGUCACGGCUGGCCCUCAAGGAAGGCGACAGCGGGGUGUCUUCUCUGCGCUGGAAGGGAGGCAGGCGAUGCACGCCGCCGACAGCAUGGAUGGUGGCUGGUUGCAGGUUGUGGCUGCGGGUGGUGUGGUGGCUGGUCAGAUCUGGCCCCUGAGCAGGCUUAGUUGCGGCCAUAUGGCACCGGUCGAGGUACAGGAGGCGUUGCCGUCGGUCCAUCAUCGUGGGCGCCGUCGGCACCGUCCUCAAAGCGGGCGGCUGUUACCUUCCGCGGUGCUACAGGUCGAGGUGGUGCAGGAGGCACCGCCUGGGACCACGGUUUUCGAUUCAAUGUGCAGCUACAAGGCUAUUUUUGUUAUGGUGAUGAGGUAACCCUCGGUCUGAUUUGGCCGAGAUACGUCGGAUCUUGGAAUGGGAGGUUCAACUUGGUUUUAGGAAUGCCAGAUUUGUUGCAGAAAGAUGUAGGUGUCGUGCUCAGAUAGGUAUAUAGAUUGUUCUUCAUGGCCUGUUGGGAGGCGACGAUUGAUCUGGAGUCCCGGCCUUCGGCGAUGGCAACACUAUUUGUUUGCGUUCAUUGGGCGCGGAUUCUAUCAAGAACGGGUGCUACGCAUGACAUCUAAUGGAGAGGCGUCAAGUCAUGCCUGUUGCUGCUGGUCCAAAGGUUGUGCGACAAGGGCGAGAAGCAAGGCGGUGGUUGGCUCGUCUUUUAGCAUCCUCUCUGUGGGAUGAUGGUACAUGCAGAUGUUUCGCUUGUAUCAUAGGUUAGUGUUAGUUUGGUGGACACUUUUUUUUUUCUUUUCGGGUCGACUUUGUUCGGCUUCUUUGCCUAGCUUUGCUUGGUUUUAAUAAUAUAUGGUUGUGUGCAUCAGUUAAUGCAGAGACCAGGGGUUAUCCUCCUUUUCAAAAAAGAAAGUUCAAGACAUGACUUUGAGACCCGAUUACACUUCCCUACUUCUAUGUGUAGUAGGAGUGGUUAAUCCUGAGAACCAGGCUUGGUGUUUAACCAAGAUUAAAAAUCAUGUUACUCAUACUUAAUGGCUGUGUGCAUACCUAGUUGGUGCAGAGGCCGGGGAAGUGAAAUUCUCCCCCAAAUUUUAAGGGUACUGGACCUCUCGCGCCGUCCCCUGUGAGGCGACCGGGAGGGAGCCCUAGUCCCUGCCGCCAGCCCUCCCCCACACCUCCCUCCUCCCUCUCGGCCGCCACCAGAGAGCGCGGCCGAGCGAAGCUGGGUCGUCGCCGGCGACAGCGGGGAAAUCGUGUCUCCUCGCACGUGGGUUCGGCGGCGUGGGACGCUACCCCAUGGCCUGGACGUGCUGCAGGCUGGGCAUCAUGGCGGCGAGGCCCUCUGGCAUGUGGCAGCAGCGACACGUACAGAGCGGCAUCGGCGGUCUGGUGGCUGCGAUCUGGCGGUUUCGCCUCCGAUCGAGAAGGGCGGUGGUUGGGGCGCAGCGCCGGUGGAUCUAUGCACGGUGGGGAUGCUUAGGCCCGAUUUCGAUUGGUACCGGGCACCUCUGAUCUGUUUUACAAGUUCGUCAGCACAGCUGUAUCGUUCCAGUCAGCGUCGGGAUUGGACCUGUGUGGAUGCUGGUGAAAACCAAGGUGGACGUUGGAGGCGUCUUUGCUUCUUUUCCCUUGUUGAAGGCAUCAUGUUUGCAGCUGGCACUUCCAUGCUCGGGAUGCUCCGGGGGUAAACCUAGAUCUGGAUCUCCUGGAUCAGACGAUGAUGGCACUUUUGAGGUCAUCCCUCCCGGGGGCAUCGUUUUGGCACGUGCUGUGACCGGAGGGGUUUGCUGGCGGAGCGGUGCUCAUCUACUGCGUCGACGGCGAUGGGUCUCGGCAGCGUGGCGUGGCGGGGUCUCGAUGAUGAGCACGUUUCGAUGGACAAGCGCAGGGUGGUGGCGCUAUCUGGCGCCGUUGUGACUUCGAUGGCAGGCCUGGCAAGGUUAAUUAAUGCUUUGAUCCCUGUCAUGAAGAUGGGUCGGCGGAAGAUGGUGGCGGUUGAUUCGGAAGCGUGCGCACGUGGUGCGCGCUGAGGAUCUGUUGGAUCGGUUGUGCCCUGUUGUGGCCAACAAGGUAUUCGGUUGUGCAGCGGAAAAUGACGUGCGUUGGUCAGGGUAUGAGGUCCCAAUCAUGUUCACCCCCUUCAUCAAGUUUGUAGGUGUUCCGACAAUUGUCGUUAGAAAUACGGCUUUGGGUUGAUCAAUGUAUUUGUUUUGUCAAUUUCGUUGAAUAAUAUAAUAAAAAAAGUUGUGUGCAUCAUUUUGAUGCAGAGCCCGGGCUUCAUCCUACUUUUUGAAAAAAGGCAUACCGUUAAUUGUGACCUUCUAACAACCAAUCGGUCUUGUGAAUUGUGAUCGGAACUAUUUCUGUGUAUCGUGUUUUUUUCUUGAAAAGGAGAGAAUACCCCCGACCUCUGCAUCAAUCGAUGCACGCAGCUAUAAUAUUAUUAAGUCAAGUAUCAUAACAUCAUCCACAAGUACAUCUCAAGAGUGCUAAAAAAACAUAAAGGCUGAAAAGAUCAUCCAUUAUCCAGCCUACGCUCGGCGCGCCACCCAAACUGGUUGUAGAAAGCCCGUUCUACCGUCUCCAUACGGCUGCACCCAAAAUUCAUAAAAUCCUUGGCCCCCGUCGGAAGCAGUGGGGAUCAAGUACGGAGCCAGUACGCCGCCCAACAGAUCACCUGCAUAAAUUGGAAACUUUCUGUUAAAAACGAGGUCAUUCCGACAAUUCCAAAUAGACCAACAAAUCGCACAAGAAUCAACAAGAAUGAGCGAUUUGAGAGAUUUCUCCAUCGCAUUGAGCCAACGACCAAACAUAUUCGAGAUGCAAGUUGGUGGUGGUAGAUUAAAAGUCACAAAGACAACUCUCCACACCAAACGCGCCAAAGUACAAUCGAAAAAAAGGUGAUGAAUAGUAUCGUGUUAAUAUCACUUAUGUCAACUCUUUUAAACGAUUAAGCAACCAACCAUGAUCCGGGGUUAAUUUUUCACACUGGUCUAGUAUCACGUAUAUAUACCUUAAUCCAAUGUUUUGCUUACAUAGUGUAGCAACAUAGCAUGUCUAUAUGACCUGGAAAAACUGAGAAGGUUUAUGUUUCCGAUGUAAUCGCGAAGAGGGGUACCAUGCUAGUUUUUUGACGAAGGAAAGCAGCAAAUCUAAAAAUUAUUAUCGGCAUAGGAGAUAAGUUCAUAUUACAACCUUGAUCUAACCACAUAGUUUAAAUUACCGCCACAACUCCAAUACUCCAAUACCUGUUAGAACAAACCUCCAACUAUUCAUAUCGUUUAAAUUACCCCUCUCAACUCCAAUACUGAUAAGAACACAACCUCCAACUAUUCAUACAGUUUGCACGGACUUUUGUCCUUUUGAAAUCCAACAUUUCAAAAUUCCACAUAUAGUAUCUUUGAACUGAGCAUCAUGAUAGGUUUCAACCAUCGUGUUCCUUGUGAACAAACCUUCAAACCAAGUCUGAGUGCUUGAAAAAGCAACAAGACUGCGUGCAAUCUGUUCGGGAGGUGAAUACAUGGAACACCCCCUGACAGGCUGACAACAUUGGAUUUUUCAGAGACUCUUGAGCAGUGCUCAAAGUAUGUCACAGUGAGGUGUGAAAAAAAGAGAGGCAGUCAUAGCAUUGCAAGCAACAUCAAACACAAGAAAAAUGCAACCACAUGAACAUAUGUAGUUGUUACACCGAGGCGCACCCAUUGCAGUUCAUAGCAAUGCUAACAGAAAGAUGAAGCUGUAUGUAAAUAGCAUACCAAGCAUCCUCCGUAGGAUCAAACAUGCAAAAUUGGAGCCAAUGCCUACUGUAAGACGGCUCCUCGUUUGUUGAGGCAAAUGAGCUUUAAAAGCUCCCCUCCAGCCCAAUCGCCUUUUUAUUGGCAUAAACAGGAAUCCAAGCUGCCAAUUAGAUGGGUUCCGGAGCAAGAGGGUACCGACAGUACACAGGCAUACUACAAUGCCAAUCCUCUCACUAACUGGACUCAAAACAACGUAAGCUCCUAGUGCAAAUGCUGCAACCAUGCUUCUCGUUGCCUGCUCCAUCGAAAUCACAGAGAAGAACAUGUAGAGAGCACGAAGCAGUGGAUGAACAUGUUCUGAACCAGCAUAGGUGAGCCAGAUAGUGGACAACGUAGAGCCGACAAAUGCAAGUGUGUUCGCCAUCACAAAUGCCUUGAAGGUAUACCGGUGUGACAAAAUUGGUGCACCAGCAUGUGGAUGACCAUCAGAUAUGUUGCCACCGGGCAGAGUGAAUACUGCUGCAAAUGUGACUGUUGAGACAAGCACAGAGCCAACGACUAAAUUCUGUGCAAUGUUGCUAAAUUUCUUUAGCUCAUCUGCAGAGGCUUUCCCAAUGUUGAACUCAUCUAUAAAAUGAUCCAGGCGACGCGGACUAAGAACUGCUCCAGUCCAUGCCAAACAGCGAAGUAUAAUGACCUGUGGAUUCUAUCGGAAGAAAUCAACAUUUCAGACCAGCAAAGCAGCUGAAAUUAAAUGAAUAGAGUGGUAGACUGAGAAGUUUACCAGUGUGUAACUGAUCCCUUUGUCAGUUGCCAGUACCGCAAGAUCUAACACAGUGAGGCCCUGGUUGUUCACAAUAUUUGGCAGUAUGCCUUUAUUUCCCAUCAGAAGGCUCACUAUCAUCUGGUCUGCAUUCUUCACUGCAAGAUGCAGAGCUGUAUUCCCUUCAUAAUCCAUGACAUUCACCAUUCUUUCAAGUUCUGGGGUACCACAGAAAUGCCAAACAACUUUCCAUUUCUUAUGCUCGACAGCAAUAUGUAGGAAGUUUCUUCCUUUACUGUCAAGCUUCUCAUCAGAAUCUGGGCAGUGUUUGCAGAGUUCAUAUACCAGUUUACCAUAUCCCAUUUUAGCAGCAAUAUGUACAGGAAACAAGCCAUUUGAAUCUCGGACAUAUGCUGGAGAAGUAUCAUAUCUCAAUAACAGCUUCAAUGCGGAAAUGUUUCCAACAGAUGCAACAUAAUGAAGAGGAGUACUUCCUGAAUCAUCAACUUGUUUCACAAGAGCCGGGUUCCACUGCAACAGUUCCUGUGACAUUUCUAUUACUAAAUAACUUAGUAGAUUUUAAAGAUACUGCUUGAAUGAAUAAUAAACUAGUAGUGAAAUUACUGUACGAUAACUUUGUUGUCUCUUGAAGAAGGAAAAACGUAUCUGUAAUUCCAUAAAAAUAUUCACAAGAAUCAAUGAAACCCAAAUAAAGUACACGUGUAAUGGUCGUUUGGUAAAGUAGGAAAGAAGCGAACAAAAGAAAGUAAGUGAUCAAGAUUCAUAAAGCACUUUAUCCUGUCAAUUUUAAUGAUGAACAUUUUGAACUUGCAUGAUAAAAGAAUCUCCUACAGUCCUACUUGGUCCCUCUUUCAUAUUCCAGCUGUCCACAUUUAUCCACAUACAAAGCACAUGAGAGUUUGGAUAGAUAUGGGGUCGGAUACAGGACUAUAUGGGUAAUGUUUAUUGAGGGCAGCAUGUAAAUUUGGGCAGACCCAGCCGGGUGAUUGGGUGGGGCGGACCCAAUAAAUUUGAAAAUCCUUUUAUCAUAAGUAAAAAAAUCUAAAAAAAUUAGAGAAAAUAAUAAAUUGUAGUGUAUUUGCCCCACCCAAUGUUGAAAAUACACUACUUUUUCACCCAAUUUUGAAAACCUGGGUCCGCCACUGAAAUUUUGUACUUGCCCUUGGUUUCUUCUUUGUAAAGUUCUUUAAAUAAGAUUGUAUCGGAUGAUGCGAAAUGGAAAGAGAUGUGGAUUUCAAGUCUGUCAUAUUCCAAUAUCGAUAAAACAUACUCCCUCCGUCCUGAAAUAAGUGACGUGGAUUUUGUAUAGUCGGGACGGAGGGAGUAGAAAUAGUCCAAGGUUUCACACUGAGAUUUGAUUACAUAUUAUAAAGUCAACUUUGAAUUUGAAUUGCAGUUUACACAUCAUCCAAAUUUAAUGAACUUAAAUACCAAGUUCCAUUCUAUCUAAUCUCCAAAAAUAAUUCUGUUUGUCAUGUUCUUAAAUCAUGAAGAUUGCCAUUUAAUUUACACAUACGUCCCUAUAUGCUUACGUUACACAUCCUUAUCAGUAUACAGUAAUAAUAUAAGAUCCUUUUCACACAUAUCCCUGAUUUAUUUCAUGAUUCACAUGUCGUAUAAAGAAAGCCACCAGUCCAUUCGAGUAGUAGUCUCCCAAACUGCAGUGAUCCAGUCCAAGGCUGCCCAUUGGUCAAAUCCCUGUAGCGCCACUAACACUAAAGUGCGUACCUACACUUACUCCACUACCAGUAAUCAAUCAUUAUACCCUCGCGAACUUGCUCCAUGUUACCCAGUCACCCCGAACCCAACGUUGCUAUCAAUUUUUCGGUAAACCCCAACACUGCUGUCACUACUAAGUUAAUUUGAAUACAGCCCAAUGCACAGCUUGUUUCUUCUAGUAAUAGAGAUCAAGCUAAAUAAAAAUCUCUUUAAUUUGUGUAAUGAUGUUCAGGUGGGGAUGAAAUCCCCCCCCCCCCCCCGGUUAUAUCUCUCUCAAAAAAAGCUUAAUAAACUUGCUUUACAAGCACAUGUCCUGAUGUCUGAUCUUAAUGCAAUCACAGAUAAUUCCCAUUAAUUAUGUGUGAAUAGAUUUUCUUUUUCUGACUUCGCACAAGUAUUAUGCAACCCUCAGACCACAAAGAGCUAAGCGAUAAUCUUGCUCACAAAUUCGCAGACACAGACCAAUAUAUAUGAAUCUCGAAACUAAGUCGAUAACUAGUCAGGCACUCACCGUUGCUCGUGAGGACAGCGGCGUGCAGCACCGUGCGCAUUCCCGGGCCCGUGCCCGAACACAAUACAGGCACCUCAUUGUCGUCGUCGUCGCUGCCGUUCCUAUAUGACUUUAUAAGAACGCGCACCAUCCCAAGUGACCCUGCCGCCGCAGCCAUGUAAAUCGGCGUCUCCCCCGAGCCACUGCACACGCCGGCGAGCCCCGGGUCCGCAGCGGCCAGCGCACGCGCCGCGGCCUCGUGCCCGCCCCGCACCGCCUCGUGGAGCGCCGUCUCCCCGCGCCUGUUAGUCGCGCGGGUGAAGGCGCGCAACGAAGAGGCGGAGGAGGAGGAAGCGAGGAGAAGAGCGACGACCUUGUGGGCACCAGGAGCGCGAGCGGCGAGGUGGAGCGGGGUGUCCAGAGCGGCGUUGCGCGCAGCAAGGAGGCCAGGGGCACGGCGGAGGAGGAGCGCGGAGAGCGCCGCGUGCCCGCCGGAUGCGGCCACGUGCAGUAGCGUGUUGCCUGCCGCGGUGGCAGCGGUCUCGAGGUCCGGCGCGGCCGGGUCCGCGAGGAGCUCCUUGACGAGCCGCCGCUCGUCGCCGCUGCGCGCCGCGCGAAGGAGCGCAGGGCUCAGGGUUGGUGCGGCUACCACCGGCCGAGGCGUUGGGCAGGAAGCGGUGGACGGGGUGGACGGCGGUGAGGCCUCUACCUCCGGCGAGGCCAUUGCUUGUGUGUCGGUGGGGCGAGGGGGAAAGUGGGGGUGGCGGUGGUGGACUCGUGGUGGGGGGGUGGUUUGCUUUGGAUUCAUGUCAGUUUGGUUUGGCUUCGACAAUCUAACUGGAGGUUCAACGGACUACUAGUAAUCGAUACAAGAUCAUUUUCUUUUUGCCCCCUCAGCGUAUUUGAUAAUAUUGUAUACGGAGUAGUAUUUCUGUUCUUCAAAAAAGAUUCGUGACAAACCUUAUGUCCAACCAGUUUUUGACAAUUUUAGUCAAACAAAUCUUAAUACUUUUUAUUAUUUUCUGAAAUAAAUAUAAAAUUAAUCUAGUACUGCAUACUUCAGUGACCAUAAAGCUGAAGUUUUUAUUCUAAAGCGGAACAUCUCCACGAAUUGAAUUGGUAGAUUAAGUAUGACUAAAGUUGCAGCAAAAGCGAGAGAGGGAAAAUGAAGGCCUAUAAAGGUUUUUAAGGUUAUAGUUCCAUUUGUAAAUGCGAUCGAGUCUAAGGUCCGAACGUCAAAAAACAAAAGCUGAAAGCUUUGGCGAAGGUGCGCUUCUAAAGUCGCGCUGCCGGACAGCUGUUGCCACGUCUCGGUGCAUGCUCCACCGAUCCUCAUCUACUCCAGCAGGAGUAGGACUCAUAGAGGAGUACAAAGCAACGUAAAAACCAAGAGUAUCCGAUACGUGUUUCUGACAUUCCCCUGACAGACCAUUGACACGCUAUUCCACUUGUUUGUGUAUGAGCACAACAAGAUGUAAAGAAGAGCAGAAGACCGUCGAAUCGUAUUCGCGGGGAUGAAUCGAUUAAAGCUAAAGCUCGAGAUUAAACGACAGGAACACACGUGGUUUGGCUCCGUGGUUGCUGGCGCUCUGCUGCAGAUGCAUGCAGCAUUCUGUGUUGAACCACUGCCACCAAUAAUUGCUGGCGCGCACGUGUGGAUGCGCCCGUUCUGGACCUCUGUUUCCCUUCUCGUCUGGGGGGGGGGGGGGGGGGGGGGGGGGGGGGGGCGGGGCGUGGACGGCCACGGAUGGCGUGCACCGUGCUAUCCGGUGGUGGCCGACCUAGAUUUUUUUUUGGAAAAGCUAGCAUGGUUUUACACAAGUCUUUCAAAACAUUUUAUUGAGUGUAACAUGCACUGUGGAACUUUCUUGAAAUACUAGGAAGUUUUGCAAAAAAAGUUGCUUCUUUUUUUUUGCGAAAAAGAAACUUCUAUUACUCAUCUGCUCAUCUGGUACAUUACACGAGUGUCGAACAAUGUGGGUGAACCAAGUGUAUUCCGGUAUCUCCUGAUAGUGGAAUUGGACAAUCGCAAGGUCGUCUAAAAAAAAUCAGGUACAUUACCUCUAAGGUUACAUCAGGCAUAAUCUCAUCCGGCCCAUGCCCCACCCAUCACGAAUUAAGGCCCACUUUAUUUGGACUUCUGCUUCAGCUUUUGGUGCUUCUAGCUCUCUAAAAGCACUUUUUUCGUUUACACAUGAAGAUGAGAAGCACGUCGGGAGGUGCUUCCUUCCAGAAGCUGCAGGAAGCACCUCCGGACGUGCUUCGCAGCUUCACGUGUAAAUGGUAGAGAUACUUUUUAGAGGGCUAGAAGCAGCAAAAGCUGAAGCAGAAGCCCAAACAAACAGGGGCGUGUCUCUAGCCACCGCAUGUUCAACAAUCUGAAGUUCUCACCCUUGGGGUGGGCAACUCAUGUGGCCUUAUAAAAUAUAUAAGGUUAGUUCAUCUUGUGCAGGUUUUGUCUAUUGCUAUUUCAUCGCGGAGAUUUGAAAAAAAUAUCAAGAUGCAAACGAAACAGAUAGAGAAGAUGCUUUCAAAAAAUUUGGUGUAACUUUCAGUUAAUCUAAAAUAUGUGUUGUUGUUUUACUCCCUUUGAUCCAUAUUAGCUGUCUCAAAUUUGCCAAAUGUUGAUGUAUCUAUGAAAAAGCGUCUAGAUACAUGUAAUAUUUCGACAACUAAUAUGGAUCGGAAGGAGUAAAUUUUUUGUCAAUUAUGCUCAGUUCAUUGAAUAAAUAAAGCCAAAUCUUUGAAAAGAAACAAGAAUAUUGAGGUUUUGCUAUUUUCAAGGCGGCUGAGAAAUAACUAUUUCUAAAUCGAUGCUACAACCGUCUAAUUUAACCACUGAGAUUCAUGCAAGAUUUAUACAAAUACAAAUGAUGAAGAAUAUUUAAUUGGAUGACAAUUUGUUGACCGAAAAAUAACUAUUUCUCAGGAGAUGCCGAAUUUCUUGAUUGCGUACAACAUUUGGCAAUCGAUCUUCAGUUUAUACAUUCAGUAACUUUGACAGCUUCUCAAUAUCAUAUCCCAAAUUCCUCGCUGCAAGAAAGAGAGAAAUAUUUGAUUUAAUAUGUGAAAUAAAAAACAGAGUACAUGAACAGUAUGACUCUCGGAGUGGGACAGAGUGACUGAGGGGAGGUGCUCUGCGUUGACAAUGCCCCUGACAUCUGCUUUUCCGAGAGUUCGUACAAGAAAACCCCCGCUUGCGCCUAUCUCUCAUGAUCCAAGCACCCGACCGACAUGGCUGGCCGGGAGCCGUUCCCGCGCCAACCCCAGCGUCCAAAUCCGGUCAUUUGACACGGUCUUCCCUUCUUCUCCUCAGAAGAAACGUCCCAAAACACCCGCAACCAUCAAGACAAUACACGCGCAUGCCUAAUUAUACCACCUUCCACCUCCUCCUCCAUUGGAGCACCUUUGCUUCCCACCAUUCCUGGCCUCACCCAGAGCUCGCUCUUCUUGCCUCGAGGACCCCUCGCUCGUGCGCUAGCUAGCUAGCUCGAUCGGUCAGCGCACGUCCGGCAUUCUUCCUGGAUCGGUCGAGCGAGCUAAAUGGUCAAGGAAGUGCCAAUGCCGCUGCGGUGGCGGCGGCGGUGGCGAGUACACUUGUUAGCCGCCGUGGUCGUCAUUCUCGCCGUCGCCACGGCCACGCGGGCGCAGGAUUACAAUAACGGCGGUGGCGGCGACGACGACGACGACGAGGAAAAGGAGAAGCCGCAGUUCAAGGCGCAGGAGGCGUGCAACGGCGCGUUCCUGUCCUACACGUUCGUGGAGCGCGCCAAGGAGUUCCCGCACCUGAAGAACGCGACGGCGCAGGCGUACGCGUUCAAGGCGCAGGCCACGGUGCUCAACGCCAUGACGGACGACCUCAAGGCGUGGCAGAUGUUCGUCGGGUUCCAGCACAGGGAGAUCCUCGUGUCCGUCGGCGGCGCCGUGCUCCUCGACGGCACCGACUUCCCCGCCAACGUGUCGGGCGGCGCCACGUUCGCGGGCUACCCGAUGGCCGACCUCCUCAACUCCAUCGACACCGCCGGCGAGAUGUCACUCAUCCAGGCCCAGAUCGACAUCACCGGCACCCAGUUCGGCGUCAAGCCGCCCGGCAAGCCCAUGCCCAAGACCAUCAAGCUCUCAAACCCUGGUUACCGGUGCCCCGCGCCCACCCAUAAAGGUACACUCCGUAGUUAGUCUUACUUGAUGGCUGUGUCCGUCGGAGCAUGUCAGGGAAAUUUCAUCGAGCAGAGCACGUGCGUGGUGAUAUGUGCGUGCAGACAGCGUGAUGUACGUGUGCUGCGUAAAGGACCCCAAGUUCAAGGCGAAGAAGGCCAACAGCACAAAGUACCUGGCGCGGCAGAAGGGCGACCUGACGAUCGCCUACGACGUGCUGCAGUCCUACGGGAACAAGUACACGGCGCAGGUGACCAUCGACAACUGGAGCCCCAUCAGCCGGCUGGACAACUGGAACCUGACCUGGGAGUGGAAGCGCGGCGAGUUCAUCGAGAAGAUGCGCGGCGCGUACACGCUGCUCAAGGAAGGCCCCGCAUGCGUCUACAGCCCGGCGGCGAGCUACUACAAGGACUUCGACUUCACCCCGGUGUACAACUGCGAGAAGCGGCCCGUGAUCGUGGACCUCCCGCCGGAGCGUGAGAAGGACAACGACGUGGGCAACCUGCCAUUCUGCUGCAAGAACGGCACGCUGCUGCCGCCCACCAUGGACGAGUCCAAGUCCCGGGCAAUCUUCCAGCUGACCGUCUACAAGAUGCCCCCCGACCUCAACCGGACGGCGCUGUACCCGCCGCGGAGCUGGCGGAUCGCCGGCAAGCUCAACCCGCACUACGUCUGCGGGCAGCCCAUCCGGGUGAAGCCCAUGGAGUUCCCCGACUCCACGGGCCUCAUGUCGACGACCCCCGCGGUCGCGUCCUGGCAGGUGGCCUGCAACAUCACCCGGCCCAAGAAGCGCGCCUCAAAGUGCUGCGUCUCCUUCUCCGCCUACUACAACGACUCCACGGUGCCCUGCAACACCUGCGCCUGCGGCUGCGGCAACGACGACACGGCCACCUGCGACCCGGACGCGCGCCCGGUCCUGCUCCCCGCCGAGGCCAUGCUCGUGCCGUUCGACAACCGGACGGCAAAAGCCCGGGCGUGGGCCAAGAUCAAGCACUGGCGCGUGCCCAACCCCAUGCCCUGCGCCGACAACUGCGGGCUCAGCAUCAACUGGCACGUCAUGAACAACUACAAGUCCGGCUGGGCGGCGCGGAUGACCAUCUUCAACUGGCAGGACUACACUUUCAAGGACUGGUUCGCCGCCGUCACCAUGGGCAGCCACUACAGCGGAUACGAGAACGUCUACUCUUUCAACGGCACCAGAAUGAAGGCGCCCUUCAGCAACACCAUAUUCAUGCAGGGCCUGCCGGGCCUGGCUUACCUCGAGCCCAUCACUGACGGCAAGACGCCGGAAGACGUGAGGCUGCCCGGGAAGCAGCAGUCGGUCAUCUCCUUCUUGAAGAAGGACGCGCCCAACAUCAACAUCCCCAAAGGGGAAGGCUUUCCCAAGCGGGUGUAUUUUGACGGCGAGGAGUGUGCGCUCCCCGAUACCAUUCCGAAGAUGUCGGCUGCGCACCGGCGGGCCGGGCCAGCAAGCCUCUUGCAGGUUCUCAUUGCGGUGAUGGUCGUGGCGUUUGUGGACUCCUUGUGCUUAUGAUGUGUGAAAACUUCAGGGGAUUGUAUAGGGAUUCUCACUUCAGUUCGGAUGUUCCAAUAGCCCCCAAUUUAGGGAAUUGCACAUGCAGAAUCACAAAACCAUACGGAAAUUAAGCAAGUGAAGAGCCAGAGGCUGGAGAAUAUGGAUAUACAAAGUUCUGAAGAACAAGUAUUCAUCGGUUGAUCCUGAUGUCGAGAUAUGGCCAUGUGGGUUUUAGUGUUUUAUGAGGGCUGCAAGGGGAGGAGGUCUGGGUGGGCAGUUACAUUGUGAGGUUGUUUAUUUUGUUACAUGUAUAUAUGCUCAGUCCACAUAUCGAGUGAUUCUCUCAAAUGUGAGUGGGGGUGUGGCGGCGCGCAUGUGCAACGGAAAAAAUAGAAGCAAUGUAAAUUCUACACUUUGUUUGCUAAUUUUGCAUUUCCUUAAAUUUUAUAUGCUUCAAUCAACCGUACUACACGACAUCCAGUUGCGGAGGCAGUUAAACUGUCGGCAAAAUUCGCCAGCAGUUAAGUGUUUCUGACAGUCUAAUUAGGACAUGUACAGUGGUAUAGACAGUUGCACUCUAAUAGUUAUCCAUGUCAUAUAUAGACUACACUUUAGACAUCUUUUACAACAGAUUGUCUAUUUAGUUGUCCAUAUGAUCACUACAAUUACGGAAUGAAGGCAGGGGCAAUCUUCUUAGCAUGUGCAAUGCACCGUCGUUACCCGCUGCAAGGCCGAUUUUGGAUGACGUGGAGGAGUGAGAGGGGGAGAGAGAAGGAGUCCGUCUAUUGAAAUAUAGAUAGACUAAUUCCGUGCAAAUCGCUCCUUACCGACGACCUCUUUCCCGUUGUACGCGGACCGUCUGUUACCGUGGGAUCUGAUAUUCGUGGGAACAUUUUUACUCUGCACAGCUGCGGCGGCCGCACUGCUUGGAUGGCCGCCGAGCCGCCGAGCAACUACGAGCGGCUCUGAACUCCACCUGCGCGUCCGGCAGGUUGGCUUGUCUUGUUGUUCCGCAAGAGCGAACUGGAUCAAUCAGCUCGUAGCCUAUGAAAGCUGGCUAGCUUCGUAUAGCCUGUUUGAACUUUGGUGGCCACAAUCUCUACUAGACACAGGAACUUCGCCACCGAUGAUCAACUAGCUGGGGCAGAGCUUUGACUAUCCCGCGCGCACCUUCGUCUCCAUGAUGAGCAUCGCAUUGUACUGCCGCGUCAGUCAGACAUUCCACAACAUAAUUUGCUAUUUUUAUUUGAUCAAUCUGAUACUUUUUUAGGACAGGCGAGGGCGGCGGCGGCGGCAGCCGGAGGUGGACUAGAUUUAAUUUGCGGUUGAUCAACAUAACUUGCUAUUUUGGAGUGCUACAGAUAGCCAAAACACACACCAGUGCACGGGGUGUUUUUACGGCUGUCUACAAGUGAUGUGGAGGACUGAUACAGACGGCAGGCGUCUAACGAGUGUACAUGGCCUUAUCGCCACCAAGUCUGGCUUGUGGAGAAAUAAAUGGUGGAAGUUAUAGACGAAGGCUCUCGUACAAUAGGAGAAGUGCAGUCGGUAGGCAUAGAUUUUUACGGUAUUAGACUGUCUGUUUUUCUACCGACGAACUGUUUUUCUCUCUCUUCCUUAUCUUUCCUCCACGCAAGAAAAAACCAUACGUGGCCUCUCUUAUAGACAGCUGAUGGUGGCCUAUUGUAUAUGCCCUAAUUGCCACCUCAAGUAGAUUGCUCUUAACUGUCUCCACAGUUGGCCCGUCUUGUAGCGUUUUUUCGUCUCUUUUUUUUUAAAAAAGGGCGACGAUCUCUGGUCUCUUCGUCAAUCGAGACACACAAUCAUUGUAUUGUAGUGAUGAGCAUUACAUGUUGUGUAUUGAACUUUUAUUUUAGAGAGAAGGGUUGGGAAAUCACCCCCCCUCUCCUGCCCGGUUUUCAAAUUGCAGCAUUAAGUAUCUAUAUUUUAGGCAAAUUCUACGGUACCCAAUACUCCUUUUCAACUAAUGGAGUAUUAGGCAGGGGUAGUUUAGGCUUUUCCCAAUUAAAAAAAGAUUAAUUAUAUUAUUCUUGAUCGUUUGAUGUCCUUGGCCAUGGCGUCCGGCCGCUGCCGCCGCACGGCUUCCUAGAUCGGCGUUGGCCUCGCCCCCGAUUUCUUCGCCUUCUCCCUGUACAACCUCAUGCCGUCGUGCUCAUCAACGAGUGGGCCAAGCCAGCGUCGACAGUGGAGAAGGGCAUCGGGAAAGUUGCGGAUGUCAACCGUGAAGGGAGUGGAGGACGAUGGGACUGGCCGCUCGCAGCUUCGGCGGCGGCAGCGACGCGCCUCCCUUCGAGUGGCGCCAACCCUCAUCACGAGGGAACCUUUGGAUGAUCCAUUAAUUUGGAUCCUUUUUCUUUUCAGAUUUUAGUUCUUGUACCCGUUCAUCCGUUUCCAUACGUAAUUUCUUGCCUGCGAUUGAGACAUCCUGCGAUUUGGCAUCCAAUUUAACUUUUGGAUCGAAUCCUUAUAGCUAAUUUUCAUGAUUUCCACCCUCGUCCUUCCUAGUCAAACGUCGAAAGUUGGACCAAAUCAUUAUCGCUAAUGCAAUUUUUGGCUGCUCCUUCCUAAUCUGAAUGUUGAGAACACUACUACAAAAACGCAUAUAUGCGACGACAUAUUAGUGACGGGUGCAGCCAGCCUGCCACUGAUGUCGAGCAUCAGUGACGGUUGGUCACGCGCCCGCCACUGAUAAAUAGCUGCAGACUUGCAAUUUUGGACCCGACAGACAUCAGUGGCGGGCUCUACUCAUGACCGCCACUCAUGACUAGCAGGCCCGCCACUGAUAGUGGUUCAUCGGUGGCGGUCGGGAAGGCCCGCCACUAAUGGACACAAGUGAAAAUUACAAAAUUCAGAAAAGCAUACAUCACUGGCGGGCCUCGCGUAAAGGCCCGCCACUGAUGAUCCCUGGGGACCUAUCAGGAUUGAAAAUAUCAUAACUAAUUCAUAAAAAAUCAGAAAAAUGUGAUUCUUUUUGCUAAAAUCUUAUUUUUUUCUUGAUUAACAUAUUGGAACAAUAAUACCAUAUGGUGAAUUUUGAAAAAUGGCCUAUGUAAUACAAUCUUGUUAUUUGCCGUAGUUAAACUUUAGGUUUUAAACCAAGUGACCAGAGUUUUGUCCAUUUCUAUGCCAUAAUUCACGAUAAUGUAUCCAUAUUUUCACAAGUGUGCAUAUUCUCAUGACAAACUAUAUUUUAAAAAUGUUUGCAAAGUUUUGGUUUUAAAAAGAUGAUUUUCCAUUUCCCAAAUGCGAAAAAUUGGAUAUUUUGUGAAGCAAGUAAAUUAAUAUGGUUCAAAAUGGCACAUAUACACUUUUCGCACAAAGUAGAACUUGUUUAUUUGCUAAUGUCCAAAGGUUUUGAAAAUUUUGCACAAAAUGUACUAGUAUUAGGUAUGAAUGUUUAUGUGUUUCAGGAAACGGGGUGCUUUGUGAAGCAAAUACAAAUAAAAUGGUUAAAAAAAGGACACAUAUCAAGUUUCUAGAAAUAGUAGACCACAUUGAUGAACUCAUAGACCAAUUUACUUAUUUAGAAUAUUUGUACAUUAUAUGAAAACGAAAAAUACAAAUUAUGAACCCAUCAGUGUCGGUUCAUGCUGUGAUACCCGCCACUAAUGGCCAUUUAGGCCCAGCCCAGCCCGAAGGCCCUAGGGUUUGGAGGGAUACCCUAUAAAAGCUAGCCUCAUCUCCCCCAUCCCCAAUCUUUCCUCCGCUAGCCGUCACAUGCUUAUCUCUCCCUCUGCCCUCCCCAUCUCUCACCCUGUCUACCUCCUACACGAACAGCCCUAUCUCCUUCCUCACCAGCGCCACCGCCCCUCCUCCCUCACUGUGAUUCCCUCUCCUCCUCCCACACCGGCGGCCGGCGACGGCAGAGCGCGUAUGGAGGAGCAGAAGCGACGGCAGCGCACGCGUGGAGGAGCAGCGCCGGCAGCAGCACGUGUAGGAGCAGCAGCGCGGGUGAAGGAGCAGCGGCGGCAGCAGCACGUGGAGGAGCAGCACGGCGCCUGCAGCACCGGCGGCGGUGCUUGGAGGAGCAGCAUCGUGCGGGGCCUGGAGCGGAGCAGCGUUGCCGGGUACGCAUCUCUCCCUCUCUCGUUUUUCUUCUUCUAAAUCUCACUUUCUCUCUCGCAGAUUUCUUGGUUGGUGGCCGGCUUGGCGUGCAAUUUUGGCAAGCUACAAGUUAGCCGGAUUAUUUCAUGAUUUGUUUUUGUAUACAAAUUUGUAUAUAGGAUCUCUACUUCCGGAUUUAAGUGAUUUGUUGUGGUGUCAAGAUACUGCUUGUAUGUAUAUACAGAUUUGCCGACCUGCGGCCUCCUCGACCAACGCCUGGAGGAGAAGCGGCUCGCGGGACCUCGAGCAGCGGCGGCGCGUGGCACUUGGAGGAGCAGCCGACGGCCAUGGCGCCGAUUGCGGCCGCCAAGACGCUGGAUCCGGCCGCCCUAACAAUUAUGCCAACAAUUUGUGUGCGAUUAGAACAAAAUAAACAUGGCUAGCAUUAUAUGCUAGCCAUGAGUUUUUUUUUAAUUAUGGCCACAACUCAUCAGUGUCGGUCACUGCUUGUGCCCGCCACUGAUGCUGAUGUUCAGUACAUUAGUGACAGGGAGUUAGUGACGGGUGGCCCGCCCGUUACUGAUAUGCUUUUUCGACCGUUAAUGAUAACCGUUUCUGUAGUAGUGGAAGGAGAUGGGAGGGAGAGAUCUCGAUCGGAAGAGAAGGGAAAAUCAGAGUGGGGGAGGGAAUGGAGAAAUCGAUCGAGUGAGCCUGCAGAUCUGUUUCCCCUAAUUAAAUCGUGCUUGGAUUACAAUUUUGCCUCUGUUUUUGAAUACCCCAUCCUAAUACUCCACACAUCUAAAUUGGAGUAUUAGGGAGUAUCAACUAAUCUGAGCCAUUGGAUCUAAAAAAUGGACGGUCCAAAUUAAUUCUGGGGUACUAUAGAAGAUCUCAUAUUUUAACUACCUUAACUUAUAGUUGGUGUCACUUCAUCUGCCACCACCGCAGCAGAAUUAAUGGGCCUAGCCAACAAAUCGACAACAAACUAGGCUUCUUACUAUCUACUCCCUCCGUCUCAUAUUAAGUGACUUUCCAUUACAUAUAUGUAGACGUUUUUUAGAGAUAGAUACAUUCAUAUUUGAACAAUUUGAAUCACUUGAUAUGGGACGGAAAAGGACGGAAAGAGUAUUAAUUUGUGGUCGGGCCGGCUCAAUCUGUCAACAACCCUUUACCACUACGGCACACGGAAUUAAUUGGUAUGUGCCAAGAUCGUCAACAAGCUAGGUAGUCAGCAGCCCAUCAAUAACGCUUGUCCACCAAAUAUCGUCAGCAAAGCCUUAAAACAAAAUUAAGAUACUACUCCCUCCGAUCCUAAAUUGUUGUUGAAAUAUUACAUGUAUCUAGACGCUUUUUAAGAAUAGAUACAUUUAUAUUUGGUCAAAGUUGAGUCAAGAAUUUAGAAUCAGAGGGAGUAUUAAAACUAACAAUUAGAGGAUAAUUACUGGUCUAAGAUUUGAACAUAAAUAAUUUGUAAAGAACGCACCAACGGAAGUGGCACUUAGCUAAUUACCACUCCCUCCGUUCCAUAAAGACCGCCCAAUUUUUAUGAAAAGGAGGGAGUACAAAACUUUCAGUUGUCCACAUGUAGUGUUGUCCUUUUAUCCCUUUCUCGGUAGAACAUACUCCUCCUGUUUCAUAAUUUUUGUCUCAAAUUUAUUCAAAAAUGGAUGUAUCUAUUUCUAAAAAGCGUCUAAUACAUGUAAUAUUUUGACAAGAAUUAUGUAAGGGAGGGAGUACAUCGACUUAUUCAUUUGGACAAGUAUUACAAGAGAUGGAUAUAAUUGAAACAUAAACAUAAACUCAACGCACAGCGCGGUGUCAGGUGGAAAAGUUCCUGCUAGCACCAGACAGAGAUGUAGAAUUUCACCACUGAGACUCACUCCAGUAGACGACCAGGUUCUUGGUCCGUCAAGGACCUCAUCAAAGCGACCAUCAUUUACAGACAAAUUAAGCAACAACAAUAUAUAUGUAGCACCUUAUUAUUUCUUUUGCCGCCGCCACCAUGACCCAGAAAGAGCCAAAAUUAAGCGUCGGAUGGGAAGGAGCACGUGAACAACGACUGAAGCGAGAGCAGACUUGAAGAAGUUCUUUAUAACAGAACUCCUUAUUAGGUCUCACUCGGCCCAAAGAUAAUCCAUACCUUGUGUUAGGCUCUUUUCCCUGUCCAAUUUGUAACGAAGUAGUACGUGUCAUAGAGCUUGGGCCACUGGCACUCCAAGCUUUGUAACAAUGUGCGGUGGAUGGCUCUGGCAUAUACGUAAAAGAGCUCACGACAGAACCGUCACAUCUCAUUGAAAGAGACACCACAAUGUCAAAUCUAGAAUUUAUUUUUUUUUUACUUAAAGACCUAGAAUUUAAUCCUAGUUGACACAGAUAUAACAACAAUGCUUGAUUUAUUACGAGGUGUUUGUUUUAACAGCAGAAAACUAUUGAUCACCAACUAACUCAUCCGAUACAUAGGAACUAAUCAAGUAGAACCUACCACAUGCCGCCGCAGUUCACACACACAUGUACAAUCCUUGCAAUAGCCUUCUUGAUAACCGGCGUCGUGGCAACGCACAACACAAGUACUGCUAGACUCACCACAGGUGAUCGUGGUGCUGUGUUCAUCGCAGUUUUUGGAACCUCAUCUACACAAACGAAAGAAAGAUCUUUUUAUUUGAUAUAACCGCACAUAAUCCUUAUAUGAAAAAAAGAGAUUCAAUAUCAACCUAUUCUUACCCGAAGACACGAGCAGUGACGUUAUCAGGAUCGAUGCCACAAUGAAAAUGAUCUUGCGAGCCAUGGCUAAUUCUGGACUUGGCCGUUGAUUUAUCAUGACACAUGUAUUUAUAGAGAAGAUUUCACCUGGCUUUCUUCUCGGUCAUUUAUGUCUUCACAAUAAAUUUCUACUAUAGCAUUAAUUUAGGAAUCUCUAAAGAUUGGAUAUAAAUUUUCAAUCUUUAGAAAUCACUUCACCUCAUCAAAGAAAAUUAAUAUUCAAUCUUUAUUAUUAUCUACACCUAAUAAUAAAGUGAGGAGUGCUUCCUUGGUCGUCGUCCAUCGGUCAAAUUUGCAGUUUAUCCCUUUUAAUUCAACCCGCUGGGCGCCGUACGUCCUGGCUAUCCCCACAUUUGCGUUUUGCCCCUUUCGUUUUUUAAGAACUCAACCCGCAAUCCAAAACAACGGUUCCCCGACGGAGAGCAGGGCAAGGGUGGCGGUUGCGGACAGGUGCCUGCGACGCGGCGAGGUCGAAUGGCUGGGUGCGAUCCGGCUCGCGGAGACGGAGCUGAUGAGUGGCUUGAGCACGGUGCUCACAGGGCGGAGCAGAAUCGCGGGCCCUUGGGCUGGUCGGGGCGGCGUCGGACUGUCGGAGGCGCACAGAGUCGAAGGAGACGCUGGGCCGGCGCUGUAGGCGGAGAACAGCGGAGAGGCGAGCCUAGGCUGGCGGCUACUAGCGCUCGAACCGGUGGAGGCACACGCGAUGCCUGGGAUAGACGACAGAGCGGCCGUGCCCUUGCUCCAUCUCCAGGGGCGCAUGUGGUUCAGGUAGUAGCAGG